CAAAACAAAGUUCUCUACGAAGAAAUGAAAGUUUGACUAGGGAGAGAAGCUAGAAAAAAACUUUGUUUCAAUUAAAAAAAAGUUAAGCAUCACUUCAAUUUUAACACUUUCAAAUUUUGACAAACUAUUUGAGGUUGAAUGUUGGUGCAGGAAUUAUAAUUAUAUUGUUUCAAGAGAGAAGAGACUUGUGACAUUCUUUAGUAAAAAUUUAAGUCGUGCUAAAUUAAAGUGGUUCACAUACAAUAAAGAAUUCUAAGCUAUUUUUAGGACUCUAAGGAAAGAGAGCAUUACCUGAUAAGCAAGGGAUUUGUUCUCUAUUAUGUGAUCAUGGGCAAGGUUGUUAAAAUCGCGAUUUUAACACGGCAUGGAAAGCCUUACACAAACUUGGAUCAUAAAAACGGAUCGUAAAAUCGUAAGGAAUUUUAAAAUAUAUUUAACAAAAUUCAUGUUUCAAAUAAAAAAUUCAUACUGCUGUGUAAAUAGUCCAAAUUGAAUAGUCCAAAAACCCAAGACUGUUGUGUAAAUAGCGCUAUAACUCAAGGAUUCAAUUGAAUUUCAUCCAAGGGCACAAUUAGAAAUCAAUUAUUUCUGAUUAGGGUCCCAAUUGUUAAGUUUAAAUUGUCUAGGGACUAGAGUGAAAAACAACCAUGCUCAAGGACACAACGACGCCGUUUUGGAAGCAUUGUUCAUCGUCUGCUACGCUUGCGCGGAUGAAGCCGGUUCAACAGGGAAAUCUAGUGCUUAGACCUAGUGCUUAGACCACCAUCAUCUUCGUCUUGAAUAGAGAAGAUCGGGCAGAGGAGCAAGGGGAAGGAACAGGGAAGAACAACCCAGAACAUAGAAGAAACAAAAUCAGGGAGGAAACAGAGACGAAAAACCAGAGGAAUACAGGGGAAAAAGAACAAACAUCAGUAAAAAAAAAAAACAAAAGGGAGCAUGCAGCAGAGACAACAACAGAGAAGGAGAGAAGUUAGCUUUGGCCAAUCAACACAUCUCCGCCAUUGUCUUCGUCAUCAAGCUCCAGCACCAGGCAAAAGCAGAGAGGAGACGAACGAACAGGAGAAGGAAGGAGAGACUGGACAAAGGAGAAGAGAACAGCCCGCCACUACGCCAUCGUCAUCGUCUUCGUUCCGGUGCAUGCAGCCGAGACAACAAACUAAUUGAAUUAAGCUUGUGUUAAUUGUUUCUUAAUUGCCUUCGAUUUGUUAGAGCCAAUAGGAGGGCGACACGUGGCAACAACAUUGAAUUAAAAUUUCCUGCGGGCAAACUCGUUCAAUCAGUGGUGAAAUCGCGAUUUUACGCGAUUUCACCCGAUUUUAACGAUUUGACCCGAUUUUAUUCAUUUCCGAGUUUUAUGUACGAUUUAGCACGUAAAGCUUAUAUUAACUCGUAAAAACGUACGAUUUUACGAGUUGAAUCGCGAUUUUAACAACCUUGAUCAUAGGGCAUUGCAAUUCCCAUAUAAAUAUAAUUGAAUUAGUAAUUAUAUACAUGUGAGAUGCGUGAUUUACUUACAACAGUUCCCUAUCAGAAUCUAGAGUCCAAAAUAAGGUUGUCAAUGCUUUUAAGUAGAAAGAUAACCUUGUUAGUUAACUUAAGAUGAGAGAUUAAUAGAUUUGAUUGUUUGAAAUAAUUGUCGAGCAUGAUGAUGAGAAUUUUAAUGAGUUGAGGGAAAGUGUCAAAACAUGGAAUAAUUAUUAAAAUUUGAAAUUUAUUUAUGAACAAAUCUUCUAAUAUGGAACCAGAGAACGAAAGAAAGCAAGGUUAGCGGACGUUGUCUUCUAGGCACAGCCAUGCCUGACAUGUUUUCUUAAAUGCCCUUCACCUCUUUUUGUUAGUUUUAAUUAAGUAUUAUUAUUUAAAAUUUUAAAAUAUGUAUUUUUAAAAUAAUAUUUAUAAACUUAUUCGGUUGUGCUGUAAUUUUUAAAUAAUAUUAUAAUUUUUUUUAGUAGUGUUAAUUAUUAUUUUAUGAAUAAUUAUAUAUGAACCUAAUAUUCAAGAUUUUUUAAAAAAAAAACUACUCAUGAAUAUUCAAUGAAAAUAAAAUAUUUAUUUUAUUAAUUUAAAAUUAGAAAAUAUAUUUUAUUGUGACUUUCUUAGCAUAGCAUGAUGAGUUUUUGUUUAAAAAUUGUUUUUUAAUAAAAAAUAUUAUGUAAAAAAAAAUACAUAAAUAAUUAAAUAGAAUUUUAACUGAAAUUUUUUUUCUACUUGAAGAUUUAAAUUUUAAAUUUUUUUACUAAUAUUUAUUUUAAUUAAUGUAAAAUUAAAUUAAAAACUAUUUUUAAUCUAAGGAUGAGUGAUGAUAUAUGUGCAGUUUUUUUUUGGCUAUACGUUCCUGGAAACAACUAACCUCCUCCUUCUCCUCUAGCUCCGCCGUUAUUUUACUUUAAUUUUAUUUUUAAAACACAUUAAAUUUAUAAUGAAUAUUUGGAUGAAUAUUAUUUAAGAUUAUUUUUAUAUUUUUAAUGUUUAAUAUAAUUUUAUUUGGUUAAUUAGUUUUUUUAUUAUUAAUAAAUAAUUUUUUUAAAUAUUUUAAAUCAAUAUCGACGGACUUACAAAUGAAAUCAAGCUGUCGGUAUUUUAAUGAAAGUUGCAAAAAAUUUACCAUUCAUGUCACAAUUAUCGACGGAUAUAUUCUAUUGGUGUUUAAUGUUGUUAUUAUUGAUGGAAUAUAUCUGUAAAUAUUUUAUAAAAAAAUCUAAAAUAUUUAUUGUUUAAGCCAUAAUCACCGAUAGCCAGUUUAUCCGUGAUUACCGUUGAAAAUGCAGACAAAAUAAGUUCUUGUAGGAUUUUUUUUUGCGCGCUUUCCCUGUUCAUCAGAAUUUAGUUCCCGAGUCAAAGUUAGAUGCGCGCUAAAGCAACAACUAUAAUCAAUCAGCAACAACCAGGAAAUUACCUUGAUCACGCGCUGCUAAAGAAAUGUCCUUGCUCUCUUUCCUAUAUACGUUACCCUUCAUCUUUGAUAAUUAUUGCAUAUAUAGCUAAUAAUCUGCAAGAAAGCAUUCAUAUUCUUUCUCCAGCUAACCUUUCUGAUUGCUGCAAUUUGAUCUUUAAAGUCGCCAGGUUGCUGGAAUCCGAACAACUCAAACACCAUAUUGAGGUAACCUUUGCGAUUGUUGCUUCUGAUUGCAUGAACGCAUGUAGUUUUAACACUAAGAAGAUUGCGAAACAAGAUUGUUACAUGGGAUUUUAUGCUGUCAUGUUUUUGCUAGUAUAUAACCCUUCUUUGCUUCUUUGAAACUACAUGUCAAUUGAAAAACAAAUUGAAAAAUAUGUUUGGGUAGUUGAAAUAAAUUACCGUUCCCGAUUGCUGCAAUUUCAUAGCUUGUGGAAUCCAACCAACCCUUUGUUAUAUAGAGGUAUAUCUACCUUUUCUUUCCUUCUUUCUUGUUUUAAUUUCAUGUCUUUACUCAUAACAAUAAUUUGAAAGCUUCAUGUUCAGAUAGACAUCAUUGAUGAGUUUAUUGAGUUAAUUCCUUGUAUGUCUUCUAGAACAAGAUCAUUCUAUUUUAGAAUGCCGAAAGAAAAACGCAAACAAUCCAAAGAUGAAGAAAAUGAUUCAUCCUCGCGAAAGAGAAGAAAAGCUGACCUCAGUAAGCGUUUUAAAUGCUAUUGUUUUAUGCUCUCUGGCUUUUAAACUUGAAGUAUUAAGUGAAACUCAAUGAAUGAAUGAUUUUCUUACCUUACUCUCUAAGAGUAAUUGCGUUGAAAUUCCUACUCAGCACAUUCAUAUAUUUGUAUUGUCUUUGAUGAUCACUUCACAUGUAUCCCUUACUAGUUAUAAUUGCAAGAUAGCAGAUACCUCCUGCAAUCCUUCAUUGCUAAUUAAUUAAUCGUGCCUUAAUUUCUGCAGCUGCCAUGACAGAGCCAGAUUCUUCUCGAUCUAGACCACAAGGGGCCUAUGAUGUCUUUUUGAGUUUUAGGGAGAAGAUACUCGCAAGACAUUUACAGAUCAUCUAUAUACUGCCUUAGUCCAAGCAGGAAUCCACACUUUUCGAGAUGAUGAUGAACUUCCUAGAGGAGAAGAAAUCUCCGAUCAUCUCCUCAAGGCAAUUCGAGAAUCAAAGAUAAUAGUGGUCUUCUCAAAAGGAUAUGCUUCUUCUAGAUGGUGUCUCAAUGAACUUGUGGAGAUUCUCAAGUGCGAAAGAGGAAAACUGGUCAGAUUGCUCUUCCUAUAUUCUAUGACAUUGAUCCUUCAGAUGUGAGAAAACAGACUGGCAGUUUUGCUGAAGCAUUUGUUAAGCAUGAAGAACGUUCUAAAGAGAAGGUGAAGGAGUGGGGAGAAGCUCUUGAGGAGGCAGGAAAUCUAUCUGGAUGGAAUCUCAAAGAUAUGGCAAAUGGGUAUGCCUUUUCUCUAUAAGAUUCACUUCCACACAAUUAUAUAUGGAGUCAUUAUACAUUACCUAUUUUACAAUGUGAAACAAUAAAAUACUUUUUGAACACACUUAAUUGUCUCGCUAUUAAUGACUUGCUUUUGUCUAUGAACAGGCAUGAGGCAAAAUUUAUCCAAGAGAUUAUCAAGGAUGUGUGACUAAAUUGGACCCCAAGUACUUAUAUGUUCCUAAGCACCUAGUAGGUAUUGAUCCGCUUGCUCACAAUAUUUUUCACUUCCUAAGUACAGCAACAGAUGAUGUACACAUUGUGGGCUUACAUGGGAUGCCAGGAAUAGGAAAGACGACUAUAGCAAAAGUUGUGUUUAAUCAACUCUGCUAUGACUGUGGAUAUGGAUUCGAGGGAAGCUCAUUUCUUUUGAAUGUCAAAGAAAAAUCUAAGAUAUGGUUCUUUUACAACAACAACUACUUCAUGAUAUUUUAAGACAAAAUUGAGAAGAUCAAUAAUGUUGAUAGAGGAAAGGUUCUGAUUAAAGAACGACUCUGGCGCAAAAGAGUUCUUGUCGUUGUUGAUGAUGUGGAUCAUCUGGACCAAUUAAAUGCUUUGAUGGGAGAGCGAAGCUGGUUUGGUCGUGGAAGCAGGGUAAUAAUUACAACUAGAGAUGAACGCUUACUUCUUGAAGCUGAUCAAAGAUACCGGGUUCAAGAACUGAACCAAUGAGUCCCUUCAACUUUUCUGUCAGCAUGCGUUUAGGGAUACCAAGCCAGCAAAAGAUUAUGCUAAGCUUUCGAAUGAUGUAGUUGAAUACUGUGGAGGACUUCCUUUAGCUCUUGAGGUUUUAGGUUCUUGCUUGUUUGGGAAAAACCAAGCUAGAUGGGGAUCUGUAAUUGACAGAUUGAGAAGAAUUCCAGAGCAUGCUAUUCAAGAAAGGCUUAGAAUAAGUUUUGACUCACUGAAAGCCCCUAAACUAAAGAAUACAUUUCUUGAUAUUGCAUGCUUCUUUAUUGGUGGACAGAAAGAAUACGUAGCAGAAGUGCUAGAAGGACGUUAUGGUUGCAAUCCAGAAGAUGAUUUCGGAACUCUCAUUGAAAGGUCUCUGAUUAAAGUUGAUUAUUCUGGAACGAUAAGCAUGCAUGAUCUAUUACGAGAGAUGGGAAGGGGGAUCGUUAAGGAUGAGUCACCUGAAAAUCCUGCACAAAGGAGCAGAAUUUGGUGUCAAGAGGAUGCGUGGAAAGUACUCAAGAUGCAGAUGGUAAGAACUCAAUGCAUACAGAAAAGCACAUUCAUUUGUAUCUUUAUUAUCAAACUUAUUACAAACAAUCAUUUGAAAGUUCUAUUGAUUUUUUCCUUUUGCUUUCUUAGGGAACAAAAGUUGUACAGGGCCUUACAAUGGAUGUGAGAAGAUCGGAAGAGAAAUCACUAAGCACAGGAUCAUUUGCAAAAAUGAAAUUCUUAAAAUUACUGCAAAUCAAUGGAGCAGAUCUCACCGGAUCUUUCGAAUGCUUUCGAAAGUAUUGACGUGGAUUUGUUGGCUUGAAUGUCCUUUGAGAUGUUUGCCAUCCGAUUUUUCACUGGACUACGUAGUUGUUAUUGAUAUGAAGUACAGUAACAUCAGAGAACUAUGGAAGGAAAAAAAGGUGCCAAACACACCAAAAUGCCCCAAAACUUGUCUAUUAUGUAAUUUAUAUUUACAUGUUACAAUUUUUGAUGAUUACUUUUUAAUUAUUUUCUUCAUUGCUCUUGUAGAUUCUCAACAAUCUAAAAAUCCUUGAUCUCAGUUAUUCAUGUAACCUUGUUAAAACACCAAACUUGUACAGUUCAAGUUUAGAGAAGCUACUGCUUGAAGGUUGCUCAAGUUUAGUUGAGGUACAUCAAUCUAUUGGACAUUCAAAGUCUCUUGUAUGUUUGAACAUUUCGGGGUGUUCACAACUCAAGGAGUUGCCGGAGUGCAUGGGUGAUAUUGAGUCCUUGACUGAGCUUCUAGUAGAUGGAAUUAACAACGAGCAAUUUGUCUCUUUAAUUGGACAUAUGAAGUGUGUGAGGAAGUUGUCAUGGUGCGGACACUGGGACUGGAAGUGCAACUUACCGUAUCGGCCUUCACCAAAUUCUUCUUGGAUUUCAGCUUUUCUGCUAGCUCCAACUACCACUAUUUGGAGAGUAUUGGGAAAGCUAAAACUUGUUAAUUAUGGUUUGUCUGAACGUGCAACUAAUGCUGUAGAUUUUGGAGGUUUGUCCUCUCUCGAAGAGUUGGAUCUAUCAAGAAACAAGUUCUUCAGUCUGCCUUCUGGCAUCGGUAUCCUUUCUAAGCUGCAUCUUUUGAGGGUUGCGCUUUGUAGCAAUCUUGUAUCAAUCCCAGAGCUUCCCUCAAAUUUAGAACAUUUGGAUGCAUAUGGUUGCGAAUCAAUGCAAUGGGUAAGACUACCAAUCCAAGCAAAAAAAUAUCUAAAUCUGGAUCUGUUUUGUUGUCCGGAUUUAAUAGAGAUUGAAGGCAUGGAAGGUCUAAGUAAUCAUGGCUGGAUUAUUCGCUCUGUUCCUGACUACAAGUCAUCAAAUAAUUGUAAGAGAAGUCUUGUUGAGGUACUAUUUUAGUCUCUCUUGCACACAAUUGGCACACACUAAAUUUUCAUUAAUUAAUGUCUAAUAUUCAGCAUUCCUUGAAAUCAAUAUAUAUAUAUAUAUAUAUACAGGCAUUGUGCUACGGUGGUUAUGGGUAUCAACUUCUCUUCAAUCGUUGCUAUACGUUCAGCCACAGAGACAGGUUCACUAUGAUUCCAAAUUGGUUUAGCUACAGAGGAAAAGGAAGUUCAUUAUCAUUUCGUACACCUCCAGUUUUCCAAGGCUUGGUCGUUGGGGUUGUCUGUCAACGUUUGACAGGUCUUAUUUGUGCCGCCAAAUUGUGUAUAAAAAAUAAAAGCAACGGCAUUCAAUUGUUUGAAGCAUACGUAUGCGAUCCGGUCGUUAGAAAUUUGAUGAGAUACAUAAGUCUAAGCGAGAUGGCAAUGAAAGAACAUUGUGAAGAUGAGGAAUUGGUACUGUACGUGGAACUUUAUAUGGGAGAAUACGCUGGAGUGUUUGAAUGUGGGAUCCAUGUGAUAGUUGAAAAGACAGAUUCAUUUGAAGGGUCAGAGUGGGAUCACGAGUCUGAAGUUGGAAGAGAUGGAGGAAUACCUGCACCACCAUAUCUGCCUCAAUAUCUGCUGUACAAUUUCAUUGAGAUUGACGGCAAGCAAGGUCUGAGUAAUUUAUCAAAAAAUACCAAGGAUCGGCUUCUUCAGGUAUUGUUUCUGUCUCUCAAACUCUCUCUAGCUCACAAAUAAACACACAAUUGGCGCGCGCGCAUAUAUAUAUAUAUAUAUCAGUGUAUAAAAUCUCAGCAUUCCUUAAAUUCAAUAUUUAUGCAGAGAAUCUUCGAUUAUCAUUAUUUUAGACCCUUCGAUUAUUCUAUGAUUCCAAAUUGGUUCAGCUACUGUGGAGAAGGGAGUUCAUUAUCAUUUCAUAUACCUCCAGUUUUCGAAGGCUUGGUCAUUUGGGCUGUCUGUUCAGGUGGUGGGCAUCAAGAAUUCAAGGCUAUUCUAAAAAAUAAAAGAGACGGUAUUCCAUUGUUCGAAGCCACACAUGCAAGACCCUAUUUCAGUGGUAGGUGGCUAAGACUCAUAAGUAAGUAGACGUGAGAUGGAAAUGGAAAAAUAUUGUGAAGAUGAUGAAUUGGAACUACAUGUGAUAUUGAGGUCCGAAAACAGUGAAGUGGUACGAUGUGGGAUCCAUGUGAUAGAGACAUUUCCAUUUGAACCGAGCAGCUACGAUCAAAUUCCAGCGUUGGAUCCUGACAUUUACGACCAUGAGUCUUUUGAAGGUUCAGAGGGGGAUCAUGACAUUGACUACUAUGAGACUCCAUUUGAAGGAUCAGGGUCGUCGGAUCAUGAGAUUGACAACCAAGAGUCCGAAGUUGAAAGCGAUAGAACGAUACCUUCACCACCAUAUCAUCUGCUUCAUCAUCCCCGUCAUGGUUCAAUGAGAUUUUCUACAAGGCAGCAGUGGAAAGCUUUUUUGAUUCGUGCGUUCAGCCUAUGGAAAAGCUUGGACAUGCAAAAGUUCUCACCUCAUGAUCUCAAUUAGGCGAAGGAUUGGUUUAAGAAAACUCCCCACUUUAUGCCCACUUAGCUAUGAUAUUAUCAUCUUGUUGUGUAUGAUCACUAAAUAAAUAUAGUAUUUUUUUUAGGUAGCAAAAUCAUCUUGUUGUGUAUGAUCAUCUUGUUGUAGGCUUUAUAUAUAUAAAUUAAAAUGAAUAAUAAAUCAAUCAAUUCAAAAUUAGACCUUCUUUUUAAUUUAAAGUCUUGUUUCUUGUCACCCAUCAUGUCUUAUACAAGUUAUAAGAUUUUUUAUAGAUAAAUCAUAAUGUUAUAAACUUGUUUAAAAGAUUGAUAUUUAGAUAUAAACACAUAGUAAAUAGUGAAUUAGACUUCAGAAUAUUAUUUGUUACUCUUAUUCAUAAAAAUAUCUUAAUGUAAUAAAAAAUUUCAAAAUUUUAUCCCAUAAUAGAUAAAUUUUCAUUUGUUAGGAAGAGUACAAUUUUUAUUGAUAUUCUUGAUAUUUUGAUUUUUUUUCUCAGCCCUGCUAAUAUUAAAAUGAAACACAAGCUAGCAUCAAAAUCAAUGAAUGAAUACAAAAUGAGUGAUGUUUUAAUGUAACUUUUUUCUGUAUAUAUCGAUUAGCUGAGCAUAUCAUGUAACAGCAACACAGCUUUCGGCUGAGAGGCUCGUCAGUCUGCUAAAUUUGAGAAUGUUAGCUGACGAUAGAGUAGAGCCUCCUCGUCAUCAUCAUCGAAAUCAAUGCUCUCAUUGAUUCCAUUCUUGAUGUCUAUUUCGGUUCUUUCCUCUCCAUCCAGUCCGUUUGUUUCUGAAACAUUCAAUCGAGUGUGUUCUUCCCUCAAAGGAGAAUCAUCUGCCUCUAAUUGUUGCAUUUCUAAUUCUAUCAAAGCAGUCAUCCUUGCCCUCUCCCGGUCUCUUGGGUACGUGCAAUAGAGGAAGGAGUAGAUGAAGCAACAUAAUGCCAUUGGAAUGCCAAUUGCUGUGUAGAGUGCCUUUGCAAGCGAUGCAGCAUUUUCUCGGUCUGUUAUCACCUUGACAUUGUCUAAUGAUUUUUUGGGAGUUUUAUAACCAUAAACAUGCUGAGCCAAGAUCCCUACUGUAGGGGGAGCAAAUGAAGAAAGCACAGAUUCAAAUGAUCGAUCCAAAGCAUAGACGCUCGCUCGGGACUUCUGUGGGACUAUCUCUGCAAAUAUUGGACUAUAACACCAGUUAUACAUAUAGUAUAAUACAAAUUAGACGUGGGAAUAUAUACUCUUAACUUCAUUAUCUAAUGCUUCAAGGGAAGUAGGAAACCGACCAGUCCCCAUGACUUCACAUCACAUGAACAAUACCAAGUAGUUUGUGCAGCAGCGGAAGACAUGCUACUGGACGCAACAUUAGGGGUUUGAAUGCUUAAAGAGAUAUUUGUCAUCAAGAUCCAGAUCAUAAUUCUUUGCAGUUCUUAGCCAUAUAAGAAUAUAUAGUUCUUUAUUUUAAUGACGAUUGUAUGCACAACAGAAAAACAUAAAAUCAAGACGUGGAAAAACUAGUUGACGAUUGCGCUAGACAGCUCCAUUAAAUACAUCUUUUCUUCUAUUAAUAAUAUCAGCAGUGUGUAAUUUAUAGAUGGGCUGUCGAAACCAUGACAGAGAAUUGAGUAGUUAAUUCUAAGCAGUUUAAACCUGACUACCCAAGGUGGUGAUGAGAAAAGGCUAAGGUUAUAUAAUGGAAUUGGGUUUCUGAAAAUUAAAUAACAUCUUCACAAGUUUGUAUUAUCAAAUGCUAAUUGCAAACUGGAUAUCUUCACGAGUUUGUAUUAUCAAAUGCUAAUUGCAAACUGGAUUUUUAUAUCUACCGAUCUACAGUCGUGGCCUCUAGAACGUAUUAGUUAAAAUCAUAACUAUUCUCCGUAAGCAUUGAUGCCAUAUUGACUAGAAAAAUAUGGCAAAAUUCAAAAAGAAUUUCCGAGGUGUCAAACUAGUAUUUUGACGAAAACAUACAUAACUUUUAAUUCAAUCCUUGAAUAUUACUCAUAUCUUGUCAAAAUAUUCCACAAGCCUAAGCCCAAUUCUAUAAAGAAUCAACUUGAUGUAACUAGCUGAACGAGAAAGCCCUUAAAUUAGACUUACAAGAAUUUUUUUUUCAUCAUCAUCGUCAUCCUAGUUAUUUUCAGAUUCUUUUCAUAAUUAGGCUACAUAAUUUUACUAUGUAUAGGUUUAUUUAACUAGGUUGAUUCCAAACAUCAUUUAAAUAGUUUGUAUGUAAUUUUUAAGAAGAUAUUAUUAUUAUUAUUGUUAUUGUUGAAUUCAUAACUUAUCAAAACAAACUUCUUUACGAAGAAAUGAAAGUUUGACUAGGGAGAGAAGGUUGAAAAAAACUUUGUUUCAAUUUUAACACUUUUAAAUUUUGACAAACUAUUUGAGGUUGAAUGUGAUGUUUAUGGUGUAGGAAUUAUAAUUAUAUUGUUUCAAGAGAGAAAGAGACUUAUGACAUUCUUUAGUAAAAAAUUAAGUCGUGCUAGAUUAAAGUGGUUCACAUGCAAUAAAGAAUUCUAAACUACUUUUAGGACUCUGAGGAAAUGGGAGCAUUACAUGAUAAGCAAGGGAUUUGUGCUCUAUUAUGUGAUCAUGAGGCAUUGAAAUUCCCAUAUAAAUAUAAUUGAAUUAGUAAUUAUAUGCAUGUGAGAUGCAUGAUUUACUUACAACAGUUCCCAAUCAGAAUCUAGAGUCCAAAAUAAGGUUGUCAAUGCUUUGAGUAGAAAGAUAACCUUGUUAGUUAACUUAAGAUGAGAGAUUAUUAGAUUUGAUUGUUUGAAAUAAUACUAGAUUUCAAUUAUAACCUUGGACUUUGACUUAUUUGAAACCAUGUUUGUGCAGAUAUCUUAUUUCAAUACCAUGUUAUCAGUUGAUUGUAACCCUCUAGGAUGAAAAAAGCAAAUGCUGUUGGCAGUCGAACAUGAAAAUCAAGGGAGAUGAUGAGUUGAAGUGCAUACUUGUUUGUAGCUGGACCAUUCCAGGAUACGCAAAAUCCCAUGAUGAACAAGACCAGACCGUGGAUGAAUGUUGUGGAUGGAUCAUCAGGCAAUACAAGAAGCAAAACUGCUGCCAAUGGUAUGGCUGAACCAGAGCUUAUCUGUGACAGAAAUAUCCUCCCAGAAUUGGGGAAGCGUUUAGCUAGGACAUCCCCCAUCUUUCCUCCAAACAGGCCACCAAGUGAGCCAGCAACUACAAAAAGAGUCAUGAGAACUGCUGUUUUUUCAUGGGAGAAGCCAAUGAGCUCCAACCACAUAGGAGCGAAUGAUAAAGCUGACCAAGGAAAGGAUCCAGAUACACCUUGAGCCACAAUUAUUUGGAAUGAUGGAAUUUUUAUAACUGACUUUGCUUCUUUCAUCAGGUACUUCACCUCUGAGACAAAAGACUUGGGAGAUUGGUCUUUAGCUCUGCUAUUAGUAUCAGAAAAGCGUGGAUCGUUAGCAAAAAGGCGGACCAUAAUACCAACAAUUACACUAAUUAUUCCAACCAGAUGAAAAGCAACUCUCCAGCCAGGUAUUCCCAUGAAUGUUCUUGAGGCUAUUAGAACUGAAGAGAGCCCUCCGAUGAUGGAACCAAGGUUUCCUGUCAGCUGUAGCCAUCCAAAUGCCAUGCCGCGAUUGCUUUCAUCAGUUGAAUCAGCGACAAGGGACUGAAUGGCAGGUGUGACUAUGGCCAGUCCAAUCCCAUUUAGACCUCUUGAAACCGCUACCUGAUAACCAAAUGUGAGAACAUUAAAUUAGGCAAGAGGUCAUGCCAUGAAAAGCAGGAGUUCUUCUUUUAUGAUUAUCCAUCCAGGAGACUCAAACCACCAAAAAUAGCAUUUUCAAAGUUUUUCCUCAAGAGUGUUUUUUCUUGCUUCUUCCAAGUUCAGUUACAAAGUAUACAACUUACCGAAAAGAUUCCUGAUAAAAGUAUCCAAUUUAACCACAAGGACUCGCUUUUCAAACCAGAAAAUUGUUCAGCUUACCUUCAUAGUCUUCUUAUAUCUGCAUAACAAAUGAAAGAAUGCAACAUAACACUUCAACAUCUCUAAUAAGGACUUGAAAACUAUGACUACUUCAUUUUUAUUUCAUCGAGAACUUUCUCCAACAAAUGCUUCUUGAUGCCAAUCAUAUUAUUCAUACCAAAAUUCUAGUCGUAAUAAUGAAGGUCUUGAACAAGAACUGUAAUAAUACUUCUGACUAGCUUCCUUCACUACAUUUCUCACACAAAAUAGCAUUUUUACUAGUCUAAUAUCAGUAUUCGUAGAACCAUACCCAUGAUUGAAUCCCAAUUUCAACACUGCUCAAGAAAUUUCUUAAUCCAGGUCAUUACUCACCUUAAGAUAGGACAGUCAUGGUGUAAGUUGACCCUGAAAUCUAUGGCUGGUGUUGAACCUGCAAUCUAUGGCUGGUGUUGAACCUGCAAUCUAUGGCUGGUGUUGAACCUGCAAUCUAUGGCUGGUGUUGUGGUAAUAGCCCAAUAGCCAUAUUUAUUCAUCAAAGGUUUGAACUAGUGUAAAAGAAGAAUGACAUCCAUGGAAAACAAACCCAAUUUCCUCAUUUUAUUUGGAAAAAUCCUAUAUUCCUAGUGAUAUAGCAAUUAAAUGGACUAAUCCAGGCAGCCCAGCAAUUCACAUAUUCAACUAUUCUUCUGCAAAGUAUAACAAACCAGCCUCACCAAGAAAUUCAUUAGCACCUAUCAAUAGAUCCUCUAAUAAAAUCAUGAAAAAUAACCCAAAAUGAAGAAUCUGUAACAGAGACCGCACCGACAAAACUAGAAAAAAAAGGGGGGCAUUCAAAUUUACAACAAAGACUAAAGCUUCAAAUCUACGACAACUUACAAAUCUUGAAAAAAGAGAGAAACAACACAAAUAGAGGGACUCAGAGUCUCAAACCUCUAAGAAAGUAGAAGAAAAGGCAACGAGGAAAGUGGCGGCAGCCCAAAGAAAAGCACCAAGAGCAAUAACAUGGGCACGAUUAUGAUGCACAGCAAGGUAUGCAGCUAGUGGAUAGCAAGAAGACUGAACAAUGGAUCGAAACAAAGUUAAUGAACCCAAACCAGUGGGGUCCGUAUGUAAAGCUGCACCAACUUCUUUGUACACUCCUGGUAACAACGACUCAUCAGCUCUCUCCAUAAUCCCUGCUAGAUUCACUAGCACUAAUGUCAGAGUCUCUUGUUUCAUCGUUGAAGUUUCUCUGAAAUCAGAGUCCUCUGUAUUUUGGAACCGAAGAAAACAGAGGAUCCUCUGUUUAGAGAGAAAGAAGAGUUGACUUUGUGGAUUGAUAAUUUGAUACAGGGGGGGAUUUGAUCUCUGAAGUAUCGAGUUAUUUCAUUUCUAUUAAAGGAAAAAAAGGACCGGAGGAGAGCAGAACCCACCAAUCGGAAUUCAUAGGUCGAGACAAGAAUUUUGGGAUCCUACGUGGAAUCAUUCUAGAAAAUCCAUGUCUGAUAGCCACUCGAGCGUUAUUACCAUUUUUGCCUUAGUUAUAUCCCUUUUCCUCAAUUCUAUAUUGGAUAUUUUUAUGCCUUUUUUUCUUUAUUUCCCUCUUGAUCUGAUCUUCAAUGUUUAUCAGAAAUUAAAUUUUAAUUAAGCAUUUUCAAAGAAAAGCAUAUGUGAUUCUUGAUCUUGAACCGUGUUGAAUUCUGGAAACCCAAAACUUUCAUCAGAGAUCAUCACAUAGGAUGAGAGGACGAAUAGAAUUCUCACAGGUAAUGUCGUGCGCCGCCUAAUAAAAUUCAAAGCAGUGGUUGUUUACUUGUUUGCCGUUUGACGAUUUCGUCGACGUUCGAGACUAUAUUCUUGUAUUUAAAUAAGAUUUCAACUUUCUCAUAAAGAUGGUCUUAAUUUGGUACAUUUCCAGUCAACAAAAUUCCAAUUAAUUUAUAAUAGAACUGUUUUAGAUACUGUUUAUUUUUUUAGUUUUAGUUUUUAGUUAUAAGUUAAUUUUUUUUGUAUUUUUAAAUCAUCUUAAUAUCUUAAUAUCAAUAAUAAAUUUUUAAAAAAUUAAAUAAUAUUAUUUUAAUACAUUUUAAAAUAAAAAAUACUUUAAAAAAUAACUUUACUCAUAAUUCUCCAUGACUUUAGGCUUAGAACCAAGAAACUUGUAAAUAGAAAGAUUCACAAAUAAAGGAUGAAGAGAAGCUUUCAAAAGAUAGAUAUAGAAUCUGCUGAGUUACUCGAGCCUGAAAACUUGUAGCGCUCAAAUAAUAAUAAACAUGAUCACAAAAGAGAGUUUCCCUUGAUCAUGUAAACUUUAAUGGCUUUUUUAUUAAUUGAAAUAUUUGUUGUUUAAAAUGUUUUUUUAAAAUACAUUAAAUUAAUAUUUUUUUAUUUUUAAAAUUUUAUUUUUAACAUUAAUAUAUAAAAAUUAUCUACAGAUAUCAAAAAAAUUAAUUCAAAAAGUAAAAUUCAAAAUUUACUAAAACUCAGUGCAAAUAAAUCCUCAAACAGGCACUAAAUACCACUAAUCGUACCAGUCUCCUAAUCUGAGGAUGUUAGUUUACUUGAAAGCAGAGCCUUGUCGUCGCUAUCAUCAUCGAAAUCCAACUUAUCGUUUUUUCCAUUUUCUACAUCAGUUUCUGCUGUUUCCUUUCCAUCAAGCCCUUUUGAUUCUGAAAGAUGCAGCUGAGAGUAUUCUUCUCCGAAAGGAGAAUCCUGAGCCUCUACUAGUUGCAUUUCUGAUUCUAUCAACGCAUUCAUCUUUGCGCGCUCCCGGUCUCUAGGAUACGACCAGUAGAGGAAGGAGUAGAUGAAAACACAUAUUGACAUUGGAAUGACAAAUGACAUGAAGAGUGCCUUGGCAAGUGAUUCAGCAUUUUCUCUAUCUGUUUCAACUUUGACAGAAUCCGAUGAUGUUUUGGGAACUUUGUAGCCAUACAAGCGCUGAGCCAAAAUGCCAACUAUUGGGGGAGCAAAAGAAGACAGUACGGACUCAAAUGAGUUGUCCAAAGCAUAGAUUGUUGUUCGAGAUCUCUCUGGCACUAUCUCUGCAAAUAUUGGACUGUGCAAAUAUAUGUCAGACAAUUCAGAUGCAUUAAACAUAGUUUCUGUUUGUAAUAUCGUUACUUUAUGCAUCGAACUAGUAGGGAACUAGAUUGGCCAUCAAUGGUACUUCACAGCAUGCUGUAUUGCACUUUAAAAAACAUAAGGCCAGCAUAAUCCCUGACGCUUGCAAAUACCAAGCUUUGAGAUUAAUGUUUACACGAGGGUCCUUUUCAAGCUAUCAAAGUUUUCUACAAGUUUUAGGAAAAAAUUUAUAAUCUUAAUCUAAUGAAGGUGAAGGAAGAUUUACGUUAAAUAUCAUUUUGCAAGAAAUUGGGAGAUCCUUUGGCUAAAGCUGCUUUGGGGUAAGCAACCUAGUCCACUGCGAAGAUAUGUGUUGUGGUUUGUGACUGGUCAUCUUUUAUAGUAACGGUUGUCCUGUUUCAACAGCAACUAACAGUUGAUGACAACUCCCUCGUGUGCAUGUUAUGUGUACUACUUAGAUGGAUCAAUGAGAAGCUUCUAUGAUUUUGAUUCUCCUCAUUUUACACCCCUUCAAAUCCCAAGGCAAGAAAGCCAAAGAAAAAGAAAAGAAAAAGAAAAAUUCUUUAAGUGAAAUAGGAAUACAUACUUGUUUGUAGCUGGAGCAUUCCAGGAUGUGCAGAGUCCCAUGGUGAAAAAGACCAGACCAUGCAUGAAUGCUGUUGAUGGAUCAUAUGGCAACACCAGAAGCAAAAUCCCUGCUAAAGGAAUGCUUGAACCAGCACUUAUCUGUGAUAGCAUUAUUCUCCCAGAAUUAGGCAAGCGUUUGGCAAGGAUAUCCCCCAUUCUUCCUCCAAACAGACUACCGAAUGAACCACCGAUUACAAAAAUGUUCAGGAGGGAUGCUGUUUGUUUAUGAGAGAAUCCAAUAAGCUCUAACCACAUAGGAGCGAAUGAUAAACCUGACCAAGGAAAUGUUCCAGAGACACCUUGAGCAACAAGUAUUUGGAAGGUUGGUAUUUUUACAACUGACUUCGCAUCUUUGAUCAGGUCCUUGAACUCUGAAAUAAAAGUCUGAGGAGUUUUAUCUUUAGCUCUACCAUCAGCAUCGGAGAAGUGUGGAUCCUUGGCAAAGAGAUAGACCAAAACACCAACUAUUACACUUAUUAUUCCAACCAAAUGGAAAGAAACUCUCCAACCAGCUAUCCCCAUGAACGAUGUUGUGGCUAGUAGUACCGAGCAGAGAUUUCCAAUGAUGGAGCCAAGGUUUCCUGUUAGCUGGAGCCAUCCAAAUGCCAUACCGCGAUUGCUUUCAUCAGUCGAAUCAGCAACCAGAGACAGAAUGGCAGGCAUGACUAUGGCAAGUCCGAUCCCAUUUAGACCUCUUGAAAUUGCCACCUAAUUAAUUGAUCAGAUGCAAAAUUAAGGACUAGACGUGCAAAGAAAUACAUGAGUUAUCUAACACUGCUAUUUGCACAGAGUAAAAAGCACCAAUCUCCUUAAAGAGUUUGCAACGAAUUCAGCUCUUUCUCAUCAAAUUCUCCAAUAAGCACCAUCAUUUUGAACUUGUAUUAAUUAUCCAUUCCUUCUAAUAACAGCGUGGCUCAACAAAAGAGUUCAUAGCACUUCAGAUUUCUAUGUACUGCUAUCAAACAUGAAUCUAUUGCAAUCUCAAUAGAGCCACCAAAUUAACCAUUUGGGAUUAUGUGUGACCCAUCAAAUGAUUUGUCCACUUUCCAACAUUCUAGGAAGUGCUGAUAGGUUCUGAUCCUCUGUUGAUAAAAGCCUUUACGUAGAGUGAAAAUAUCGUACUGUGGCAUUCCUUUAUUGCAAUAAUUGUACAAAUCCAAUGUCCUAAAAAAAUAUCACGAGAUGCUAGCAAGUGAUGCAACAAGAAAGAGUCUCCGAAUCUAAAUGCUACAUCGUUUUUCCAAACAAGCACGUAAGAUUUCACCUAAGAAUCGCAAAAUGGGUUUCUUCUCAUGUAACCAUAAAAGCACACAAAAAUGGGUUUCUUAGAAUCGCAACUAAGAUAUCCAGAACAACUUUAAAAUGUCACUCAAAAAAGAAAGAUAAAAGAGCCAAAUAAAAAUCUCCACAUAAAGAGAUAGAGAGAGAUCAAGAGGAACCUGUAAAAAAGUAGAGGAUAUGGCAACAAGGAAGGUGGCAGCAGCCCAAAGUAAAGCACCAAGAGCAAUGACAUGGGCGCGAUUAUGAUGCACAGCAAGGUAAGCUGCUAAUGGGUAGCAAGAAGACUGAACUACUGAUCUAAACAAAGUGAGUGAACCCAGCCCGGUUGGGUCUGUAUGUAGAGCUGCACCCACUUCUUUAUACACUCCUGGCAACAAAGACUCAUCAGCUCUCUGCAUAAUCCCCGCAAAAUUCACCAGUACCAAUGUGAGUGUCUCUUGUUUCAUUUUCGAAGUCUUUAUCAAAGCAAGAUCCUCUAUUUUAUUUCCAAAAACAGACCAUCCGAUGUCUCCUUUUCCCCUUUUAGCAAGUACUAUGAGAAAAAAAGGGACAUGACCAUGUAGCCCUAUGAUUGACCAGACAGCAGCUGGGAUUUUCGGACAUAUAACAGCAAACUUCCCAUGAAGUCUGUUGUGGAAAAGAGCUUCUGUGAUGUUGAGCAACUUGGUCGUUGCUAGCUGUAGGUGUGAUGUAGUGCAAGGGUUGUGCACAGGUUGUAAUAUUAAAACAAUCAGAUCUAUCGAGUGAAUCCAAAGACAAACAACAAGUUGUGCAUGUGCUUUAAAGGGCGUGCACAAGCUGCAUAUUAGUUUAAGUUGCUUGUGUUAUGGGGAAGAGACAUCAUGUCAUUAUAAAAACAUUCAAUCUGUUUUGUAUAGCUGGCCUCUUGAUUUUAUAAAUGGAGUCGUGGAUGCCUCCCCUAUUUCUUGGAGGAAAAUUUCUUCGAUUUGUGACGAUAUUUCAUCGGAUUUAUCAUAUAUUCAUCGUAUUUCAUCAAUUCGAUGUAGCUAGACUGGAUUAUAAAUGGACCAUGCUGAAUUUUCACCCUACAGACAGAGACUAUAUUGAUUACAAUCCAAUCAAAUUCUGCAGUCUUUCUUAGUGGCUCCGAGAGGGAAGGACGAGAAUAGGAGUGGGAGACAGUCUAUAUUGUUUAAGAGCAGGACUCGUACCAAACUCGAGUGGAAAGCACAGCCAAAAUUGAUGUCGUCUUCAACUGCUAUUCUUUAUCUUUUGAGAAAAUAGAGAUUAAGAAAUUGUUGCUUUCAUCUACAAAUUUAAUUACUUUUUAAUGAGCGUCACAUACCUACCUCGCUUGUAUGCUUUAAGAUACUUUAAAAAAAGAAAAUGAAGUCAUAUUGAGGCAAGUUAUUUAAUCUUUUCUUAUUCGGUGGUAGAAGAAGAUAAUUUACUAAAUCGACCAUGAAAAAAUUAAUUCAUCAGAAUUUAAAUUUGUUUCUUAAUAAUUAUAAAUUUGAGUUCUUUCAGAGUUACUAAAAGCUUAUAUAAUUAUUAAUUUUAAAUUUUAUAGAAUUUAUUAAAAUAUAUAUAAGUUGAUUCAAAAUUUCAUAUUAAUUAAAUAAAUAAAAAAAAAAGCGGUGGGCUAUGAAUCCUUCUUUGUACUGGGAAGCAGAGCCACGGUUGUAAUUGAUGGUAUAUAAAAAAUUUUCAUGCCUUGCCGCUUGGGCCACAUGGCCCAAAUAACAACACUUUUGCUGCUUUUCAUUUUUCUUUAACCCGUCCAGUGUAUUUUUUCAAUUUUGAGAAGAUAGAAUGCGCCUUGCCUACAUAUACAAUAUAUUGUAUAAUUAAUAUAUUUUAUUUUUUUCACAAAUUAUUUGCAAAAUACAAAUUUUUAGGCAGGUGGAGUGCCAUAUUGUCUUACAAAUAAUCUUAAUGCUACCGCUGACUUUUUUUUUUUAAUAGAUACUUUUUUUCUUGAUUAAUGAUAUUUUAAUUUUCAUGUAAUUUUCAAGAUUAACCACAUUAUCAAAAAUUUUAAAUAUCUUCGAUUAUUAAAUUAAGAAGAGAGGUCGACACAAGUUAAUAUUUCCUUAUACUUAAUACUUCACUUUCAUCCGUACACUUUUUUCCACUUCUCUCAUUUAAAUUAAUGGAUUUUUUUUUUCAAGCAAACUCCUAAUCAAGCCCAUAAAACUGAGAUACAAGCCCAUAAUCAAACCCACAUGUUCUGGCAAAGUAUCGCAAGCAUGGAAAUCCUAACAUUCUGUGUGAAGUUUUUUUGUUUUAUGAAUUUAUUUUUAAUAUAAGAAUUGAUUUUUUUUUAAAAUUUUGAUAUAACUUGUAAAUUUUAAAAUAUCUUCCUACAUAAUUGGUUUUUAAGACUCGAAGAAUGUUUUUUAGUGAUUUACCUUGAACAAAGAAAAGAAAUAAAAAUAUCAAAACUAGCAAAUAAAAAUAAAAUAAUAAUGGAUAAAUGAGUUCAUUCCCACUGUAGCUUUAGAAUUCGAGAGUCUUGAAACCGAUCGAUAAUUAUUUUCUCUUACAACUUACAAAUAUUAAUUUCUAAUUAAGAAUGAAUCCAAAUUAUAUACAUAGUGGGGGAGGUGAUCCAACGUAUAAAGUGGUUUGUUAUGUAUCAAAAUCUUUAAAGAUGAACAACAUAUAAGAUAAUAAUUAAAAUAUUUAAUUUUUAUUCAUCUAAAUCUUCACUGGUAAAAAAAACUAUUAUAAUCUCUUAUAUAGAAAGAAUUAGAAAACUCUAAUAAUGUUAAACAUGGAAAAUAAAUUAGAAAAAGUAUUUAUUUUAAAUAGAAAAAAAAUUAAAAAAGCAUAAUAAUAUUAAAUAAAAAACUAAAACAAUAUUUAUUUUUCUAAAAACAACUUGAAAGGGAGACAGAAUAUAUAGUGUUGAAUAUGAUGCCCAUUUUAAAAAAACACCUUAAGAAAUUUCAUAAGUUUAUGAUGAAUCUUUGUAUCACCGCCUAAAUUUGCUGUCAAGUUUCUUUUUAAAGACGUAGAGAUACUAGCUAGUUGGAUUAAAAAUAUAAUAAUAAUAAUAAUAAUUGCCUACAGAUUGAAUAAAUUCAACAUACUAGACAUAAAUCAAAAGCUCUAACAGAAAGAAAACAUAAUUAUUUUUUUUCAAAAUAUACUCUAAAACAAAAUGUACUUGGAAUUAAAAUCUUCUUUCAUUUUACAAAUUUCCGAAUUCAAAUCUUUCCUUUAUUAUAAACCUUUAAAACGUAAAGAUAUUUCUUGAGAAACCUAAUGGAUCCCGCAAUCAUUUCCCUUCCCUAUAUGGUUGCAGUUGACAUUAACGGUUGGUUUUUUAAUGUUUAUUUAUUUAUUAAUUAAUAUGAAUGUACAAGCUAGCUUGUAUGUAUCUCAAUUAAUUUUAAAAAUUUUAAAAUUAAUGAUUAUAUAAGCUUUUUAGUAAUUAUUAUAUUAACAAUAUUAGAGCUUGAAUUUAAUACCAUAGAAGAAAUAAAUUUAUUGAUCAUAAACUCUUAUUACUGGAUGAAUUACUAUACGGUUAUUUUUUGAUGUUUUACUUCUUAUUAUUGCUGGCAUGAUUUUUACUAUGCUUGAAGCUGGGAAAACGUGAUCUUGUUCUUGAGCAUUAAAGUUACUUGGAAAUGACUCGCCGAAAGUGUAGCCAGUCUUUGUAAUCACAUCUUUUCUUGAUUAUGCCGAGUAUUUUUCCAAUUCUACAAGUUAUUCUUCCCCUCCCUUUUUGCAAAAGUUAGCCGUUUUUUAUUCAAUAAAAUUGCUACUUGUCGUUUGAAUUACUAUAUCUUUCUGUCUAGUAAUUAUUCGCUUUUGUUUUGAUGGUUAGUGAUCAUGACAUUCAAAAUUCAAUCUAGAUACACAUUAUGAUUAAUUCCAUCCUUUUACUACAGUUAAAAUUAAAGGACAUGCUAGGACUCAGAUUUUUUUUUUUUUUUGGGGGGGGAGGGGGGUGGAGAUACAUUUCCUAGUGUAGUAAUUACAACCACCUCAAGUUAUCUCUAAAUCCCUGUACGAAAAGGCCUUGAAAUAGUCCUUGUCCUCUUAUAGACAAAGGCAAACCCCAAAUUAGUCACUAAACUAUUUGGCUAGUCUCAACCAAGUCCUGAAUAGAAUUUUUCAAGUCUUAAUCGUGUUCCCAAUUUAUAAAUUAUUCUCAACCAUGGCAUUCUAAUCACAUGAUAGUAUGCAUUUUUAAGCCCCUUCUAAACUACUAAUGUUUAAUGGAUUUAUCCAAAUUUAGUAUAUUGAAAACUUCCCAAAAACAUACCUUAAAUUUGAUUGAGUCCUUAAUCACAUGAAAGCGAUAGAAAAUGAAUUUUGUUGCAAGUUAAAACCUUUAAAUACUAAAAAUAUCAUAAUUAUUAGGGGUGUUCAAAAAAACCGACCAACCGAUUAAACCGAAAAAAAAUUAACCGAAAAAACCGAAUAAACCGAUUAAAAAAUUUAAAAAAUCACCCGGUCCGGUUCGGUUCCGGUUUAAAAAGGCUUAAACCGAUUAAACCGGACCAAACCAAACCGGUUUAAUUGAAUUUAAAAAAAAUAUAUAAAAAGAAACACUAAACCUAAUAAUAAAUUACCCCACCCCCACUAAACCUAAUAAUAAUAAAUUACCCCACCCCACCCCCACUAAACCUAAUAAUAAUAAAUUACUCCCCCCUCCCCAAAACUUUCCCGCCCCCUUCCCAAAACCUUUCCAGCUUUUUCCCAUUUUCCUUUCCCUUUUCCCAUUCUCCACACAUCCCUCCUUCCUUGCUCCACACAUCCGUCCCUCCUUGCUCUCUCUCCCCCCUUUCCCCGCUCUCUCCUUCCCUGCAUUCCCUGCUCUCCCCCUCCCUUUCCUUUUUCCAGUGGCCUUACCCUUCCCUUUCUCCCUCUCCCUCUCCCUCUCUUCUGUGCACAAUUUUUCUUUUAUUUAAUUGAUUUCGGUUUUUCUGGUUUCUAAGGCUAAAAAACCGACCCGAACCGAACAAAACAGGUUCGGUUUGAACCGGUUCUCGGUUCGGUUCGGGUUAUAUUAACAAGGAAUAGUAUUUUCCGGUUCGGUUGAAUUUUUAUGUUAAAACCGGACCGAACCGGACCAUGAACACCCCUAAUAAUUAUAGGAAGACUCUUAAAAUACUUAAUUUUAUUCAUUUACGUCUCAUUUGUUAAAAAACUAUUACAAUCAUUUAUAUAAAAAAAAAACUAGAAAAUUCUAAUAAUACCGAAUAGAAAAAAUAAAAUAGGAAAACUAUUAUCUUCAAUUGAGAAAAAAAAAUUACAAAAACAUAAUGAUACAACAUUAAAAUUAUUUAAUUAUGAAAAAUAUUUAUUUUCCCUUAAAAACCCCUUCAUCAAUUUUUCUAAGUUGCAAAGAACUCAUCCUCAAGUUUAGAUCCCGGUCAAAAAUCAUUUUUUACAAUGAACAUCCAUUUGUGUAUGGGUCACACCAUCAUGGAUCCAUAAUAUUUUUGUGCUGGCUUUUCCAUCAUAGAUCUCUAACAUAAAAUAUUUUAUGUGGGAUUCUCCAUCAUAGAUCUCUAGCCCAACAUCUUUGUACAUGUCACCUUAACACGAGCUUUACAACCAAAACUUUCAAUAAUAACAUUUGACGUCGAUGAAAACAACACCCUAAUUAUGAGAUGUCUUUUUUUCUAAAAAAAAACCUUCUUAUUCUCUUCUACACGAGCAUGUUAUGUUCUAUAAUCUCUUUCAAUUAAGUUAUUCAACAUCACACAAUAAGUAACUGUUAGAAAUCAAUAAGCUCUGAUACAUGUUUUCUAGAACCUCUAAUCAAAAUCACUUGGAAUGUUUGGUCUCUAAUACUAACUAUAGUUGAGGAGAGAAAAUGAUAUCAAGGUUUCUUACAAGUCAAGACCAUCAAAUAUCAAUAAUAUCAUAAUAUCAUGACUAUAUACAAAACCAAUAAGAAAAAAAAUAAUAUUAAUGGGAAAAAUAAAAUAUGAAAAUUGUUGUCUUUAAAUAAAUAAAUAAAAACUAGAAAAACAUGAUCAUAGAGAAUAAAAAAAAUCAAAUUAACUUAGAGAAAUAUUUAUUUUUUAAAAAAAACUCCUGCAUCAAUAUUGAACUCUUUAUUUUGUUUUGUAUAUGUCUCUUUUAUCAUAAUAUUAUUAGUUAAUACCUCUAUAUUCUUUUUUGAAACCCACAAUAACUCUUUCAUUUUGGUGAGAAUUAAAUGAUAAAUGGAAAUAGAACUAAUAAAGAAAACUAAACUAACCUAAUUAAUUAAAAUAAAAUAAAAGUCACAUUUUUUAUUAGUUAAUUUCAUAAAUGUAAAUGGAAAUGUUAUAAAUGUGUCACUAAUAGAUUUUUUGCUGGUGAGGUGCUCCGCUUUUGAAAAACAUGCAAUACAUGUUUUUCACGGGGCAUAUCUCUUAAACAAACAAACAUAUUCGAAGUCAUAUAAUAUAAUGAAAUAAAAAAACACAAUAAAAAUAGUUGUACUCAACAAAUAUGAAAAGAGGAGAAGGCUCAAACUGAAAAAAAUAAAAUUGAAAGGUAAUAUCCUAUGUUUUACUGAGCAUGUCCAUUCUAUUAAACCCGCGUUGAAAUGAUUUGAAGUAAUGACAAAUCCAGGUGAUAGUUGCAUUUUGUCUUAGCCUGAACAGUAAUAAAAAUAAGAACACCAAGAGUCGGUGAUUCUAAGAGUAUCUUCAAUCCGAGGGCCCAAAGUUCGCUUUCUAAAAUCCGAACGCCCUCAAGCUUGUUUUUCCACUAUUUGGUCUUGAAGCCCAUUAAUCAAAUGAAGUAAGGAUUAGGGUUUUUUAUAUAUAUAAAAAAAAACAAUGACAGCUUAGGAAUAGUUAGCAUGAUAUUUAUAAAACUAAAUUCAUUAAUACGACCACAACAGCAACUUGAGAAAUAAAUUGACUUGAACAAUGAAUUCUCUAGGUUAAAAGCCUAUAACAAUUCUUUAUGAAGUAUUUUUAGGUUUUCUUUAUUUGAUGCCAUCAAUUACUUUAUUUAUUUCCUUAGUACUAAUGUUUUUCUUUUUAAGAAUUCAUCAUUUUUAAAAAAUCAUAGUCAUGGUAAGAGCAUCUCCAAUGAAGAAGCUAAAUGGAUAGCCAAAAAUAAAAAACUAAUAUUUUAGCUUUUCUUUGUUUAUUUUGCACACUUCAAGAGGAAAGCCAAACAAAAUGCUAAAAUAUAUUUUCUUUUCCACAAAUGAUAUUCCUACAUAUCUCUCAAAAGAGCCAAAACUAAUCAAGUAGGGCCAACAAAAGAAUAAGCCAACUAAAUCUAGCCAUGUGAAAAAAAAAAUAACAUCAAAAUCAUUAAAAAAAAUAAAACACUUCUUUAUUCUACUCUAAUAGAAUUGGCUUUUCAAAUAGCUUUUUUCCAUUAGAAUAUGCAUGGUAAAAAAAACUAUAUUUAUACUAUUCAAAAUGUUAUUUUAUCAAUUUGUCUCUUUAAAAUAGCAUCUCCCAUUGGAGAUGCUCUAAGGGCAGCUCCAACGGAGCAGGCAAAUUGAAAGCCAAACCUCAUUUGCCUGCUCCUUCUUCAGUAUUUGUAUUCCAACCGGCAUGCUAAAUGGAAAGCCAAAAUAGCUAUUUGUGCUCUCAAUAGCCAUUUCUACAUUUAACUGUAGAAAUGACCAAAAUAGCCAACGGCUAUUUUUAUAGCCGUUGGCUAGCAGUUUUUUUUUUUUUUUUUUUUUAAAAUAUAGAAAACUUUUUCUAUAAAUACAUGGAAAAAAAAACUUGUAGUUUUAAAUUUUUGUAUUAUGCCUCACCCUUCUCUCAAAUUUAAAAAUUAAAUGGUGGCGGUUAUUUUUUCAAAGCAUGAAUUUGAAUUUACUUUUAAAAAAUUAAAUUUUUAAUAGUAAUAUAUAAAACUGAAAAUUAAAAAUAUUCAUAUAAAUAAAUUUUAAGUUUAAUUUUAAAUUAUAUCUUUUAACUUUCAUAUUAUUUCAUUAAAUUUUAUAUUAUUUUUAUAAAUUACUAAUAUUAAUUAUAUAAUUAAUAACAUCAUAAUUAUAUUAUAUAUAAAAUAUCUAAAUUAGUUACAUAAUUAUAUAAAAAUAAAUUUAACAUGAAAUAUAUUAAAAUAUAAAUGGCUUUUUUAAAUGGCUUUUUAUCAUUGAAAUGCACAUAAUAAAAAAAGCUAUAUUUAUACUAUUUAAAAAGCUAUUUUAUCAAUUUAGCUUCUCAAUUUGGCUUUUUGCAUUGGAGAUGCUUUAAUGACGGACUAAGAACUUGUUUAUUUUAUUUUAAAAAUAUUUUUGAAAAAAAAUUAAUUUUUUUAUUUUUUUAAAUUACUUUUUUAAAUAUUUUUCGAUUAUUUUAAUAUACUAAUAUUAAAAAUAAUUUUUUUAAAUAUAUUUUUAAUUAAAAAAAUAUUUUAAAAAACAACUAUCACCGUAUAUUUAUAUAUCCUUAAAUAUUCAUUUGCCACAAACUCCAUUUAAAUUGUAACUUUUUCAGAGUUGACUUAUCACAGGGAGAGUUUUAACGUUUUUGUAAAAAAAGAGUCUUAAACAAGAUGAAAAACCAAGAUUAUUUAAAUACAAAAUAGAAAGAAUAAAAAAAAAACAAAAGGCCCGUAUGGGUGUAAAUCUAGGCAUGGAGGCUAAGCCCUAAGGUGAUAGAGUGGACCCAAGAAUUGCAUGGCUUCUAGUGUGUUGUUUAAAAGUAUGAUUAUAAUUAGUUUUUAAAUUGUUUUUUAUUUAAAAAUAUAUUAAAAUAAUAUUUUUUAUUUUUAAAUAUUAUUUUGAUAUUAACAGAUUAAACUUAUUUAAAAACAUUAAAAAAAUUAUUUAAAGUAAAAAAAUAAAAAAAAUAUUUUAUUUUUAAAAAUACUUUUUUUUUAAAAAAAAAACAGGAAUUCACAAGCUGAGUCAGUGGCCACGAUUUCAUGAAUAUGGAUGGGGUAUGGGAAAUGGCAUGAUGAAUGGGGAGCAAGCAUGAUGAGAGAAAGGACGGGUGGCUUUGAGAAGGGCCCACAAAACCCCGUUGUCUCUAGUUGGAUGCACAUUCUCAUCAACGUCAAAGAACCUUAUUUGCCCUGCUGUGGCCUUUGCUGGGAGACAAAUCUAAUCCAAAUAGCACUCCCAAUAUUCAUCAAAAAGUUUCUCUUAUUUCUCCAUGCUUGAAUUUCACAGUUUUACUUGCCUUUGCCAUUUUGUGGUAAAAUGUCUUGUUUCCAGUGCUAUUUUCCCUUUUCUUUUUUCCCAACUCUGCCUUUAUUACCUGCAAAAAAUAAAAAUAAAAAUAAAAAUUACAAGUCCCACCUUUAUUGUCUUAAGAAAAAAGCCACAAUCAUGUUAAACUCAAUUGCAGUAUACAAGUUCUUGUUUGCAAUUAAGCAUCUCCUCAUUACAAGGCACCCUUACGGCCACUAGCAAAUCUUAAGAGCUUCAAAGAAAUGAUUCCCAGAUUUUUCCCAUUCUUCGCAUGCCUUUUUCACUAUAAUUAGCUUAUCAUAUGGCAGGAAAUCAAGAGCCCUCUAAGAAUCUUGCAUUGCAAUCGAUGAUUAGUGUUUGUUUUUGUUUUUACUUUGAAUUGUUUAGGUGAAUUGAUGUUAAAAAUAAAUUCUAAAAAAUAUAAAAAAAUACUAUUUUGAAUAUUUUUUAGUAAUUUUUUUUUAUAAAAAAACCAUUAUUAUAAUUUCAUAUAUUUUUUUAAAGGAUGUAUACCAAGCUUAAAAAUAAAAAACUGUACCUUUAUCAUUAAUCAUUGUGAGACUAUUACAUGGGUAGCAUCAAAAUUUGUUUUCGAAUGAUGUAAAAUGUCUCUUUAUAACCUUAAACUCUUGUGGUUAAAUCUAAUCAAGGAGGUUAAUUGAUUUGGAGGCAAUGAAAAGGGACAUUUUGCUUUAUGGUAACUAUUAGCUUGCAGUUCAUAACUUGACAGUAGUGGCAGACAAAUGUGGACUUCAUGAAAAUCACUCCUGACCCACCAAGACAGACAAGUCAUAAUGCUAUAUUUUAAAUAAGCACCACAGUAAAUGGAGUUCCUGUUCAAGUACUGGUUUUACUUCUAAAAGUUUCUCCAUUGGAGAAGUCGUUGAAACAAAUAGUAAGUCACCGUUUGAUCCUGGAAUUUUGCACCCCCCUCUAAAGUGUUUUUAAAAAUAUAUAAUAUUCAUCGAUCCUUUUGUAAUUAUGGAUUUGAACCCUAGUGUACAAUAAAAGGAAAUAAAAAGCCAAGUAUAGAACUGUAUUCUCUUGCAACACCAUCCAGAUAAGGGACGUGCCGGGUUUGAUAUUAAGUGGUGUUAUGUCUUUGACAGGAUUAAAGUGUUAACUUAUGCUUUGAACUUGUUUGAUUAUCAAAAGUAAAACAAAAAAGUUUACAAAGUUGUAAGAAACUGAGCUAGAUGCUAAAAGACUUGACCUCCAAAGAGAGUUUUUCAUUUAAACAUGUCUAUGGAUUUUGUAAAAUCGCUAUAAUCUCAAAGGCAUUUUUCAUAUUAUUACCGGAUACCGUUAACGAUCACACGACUAAACAGCUACGGCCUUCAGUACAAAAGACGGCACUAGGAGAUGAAACAGAUGAUUUAAUUAUGGAAGGGGAUGAUAUUCAAAAGGCAAUCCUUUGGUCUCACACCUCUUCCAUUUUAUGUGCGUGCUAGAGAGCUUUGCGUGCUAUCUACACGACUCAUUUCAGUACUGUAUGCGCGCACAUACUGAUAGCUUUUGGGGCGUUUGAUGUGUAGUAGCACCAAACAUUUGAAGAGUUUUCAAAUCGAGGCUCCUAAAAACACCCUUUUUGAUGGGACUUCUCUCGAUUAAGAUUUCUGGUGAAUUAAUGUUAAAAACGAUAUGACGUCAAUAAUAGGUGUAUGCAAUUUAUAUGAAGCAAGAUUCGUUAGGUGAAACAUUGAGAUAUGGCCUAAUUAACUAGGGAUAAUAUUCAUGUAUGAAAACAUGGAGGGGAUGAAGCUCAUGAGGUUCGAUGAUGAAGAUAUGACCUAGUAAACUUGUUUCUCCAUCUCAACGCUCUUCUUUCUUCGCACCACAAGACGUUUAAUUGUUACAUGAUCUUUACAGACUUUACUUCUAUCUAAUCUGUAGUAUUUAGCUACUGGAAAUCAUGGGAAGAAGAACAAGGGAAAAGCAAUAAAAGCAACGUAUGCCUCAUUCUAUUUUCUUUCUCCCUCGGUUUUGUCGAGGAACAUCGUCUAAACGACAAUAAAAGCAAAACCUUGGAUGAUUAGGUAUUGUGGUUUUGGACAACAUAUGCCUAUACAUGGGGAUGAAGUAACAUGAUACGUGCUACACAUAUAAAGAUGCCUAGCUAGUGUUAAUUAGGAUAACCCACGCUACAAAAUUGAGGUGCAAAUAAGUCAAAAAAGCAGCUAAGAUUGGAUCUGUGCGUUGGGGCUAGCUCUAACCAGAACUCCUUUUCUUCCUCUCUUUCUUUUCCUUUCCCUUUUCCUUUAUAAUAUUUAGUUUAGGAAUGGGACUUAGCCUAGAAAGACAUGAUAUGUGGACUUUGGAAUAAGAUACUAUUGUUCUGCAAAUGUGGAAGUUUGUCUUCUUCCAGUAUUGGGCACUUGAAUAUAUGCUUUUUCAAAUGAGGGAAUGGCUUCAAGCGAGGAGGGAAUGGAGGGAGCCAGCCUUAUGAUGAAGAUGUCAAAAGUUGUCCAUCUUUUUGAGCUUGGCUCAAAAAUGUAGGGCACUACCAUUUUUUAUAUUUCUGUACAGAGAAAGAUGGAGAAAGAAUGAUGCCCUCGCCAGUUUGUGAGACUGCUCCAGCCUAUGGUCUGAGAGAUAGCGAGGAGAGGAGUCAUCAUUGCUAAACAUCAAAGGCUAUAGUUAUAUUCACUGGCAUGGACCACCUCCAUGAUGGUAAAAGAAGUGUCACAAGUCACACCACCACCACCACCCUCCUCUCUCUCUCUCUCUCGCUCCCCCGUCUAUCAGCAAGAUGCCUGCCCGUGGCUGGCCCUCUAGACUCCCAAAAUCCCAUGGCUAAUCAUUUGAGAUUUAUUUUCCUUGAGAAAGCUUUGGAUUAUAUAUAAAACGCAUAAAAAUGGUGAGAAAGGAAGGGUGCCCUUUACAAAAGUUUCCAGCCAGAAUCCUAUAGAUUGGCCAUUCAUAAUUCAUAUGAAAACGUCUCCCCUUUAGCGAAAAGAUUCACAAAUUUUUGAAACCACACCACUCCCUUUCUCAUGAUUCAAAAUUUAAACACCGAAGGAGAAAGUGGUGGGUAUUGUAUAAUUGAAGUGAAAAAGAUCAUGAUCUAUCAAUCAAUGUGAUGAAAAAAAGAUUAUCUACUUUUUAGAUUUAUAUAUAUCUCCAUUUCAUGCAAAGGAUAAUGCCCACUUUUGAUCAUCAUAACUGUUCCAGAGGAGUGCCUGCUUUGCUAUGUCAACCUUUUUCUCUUAUUUUGAGAAAUUCGACAUUUUGGAACACUGUUGACCAGCACUCUCUGCUGUGCUUCUUCUCUGUAACAAGACGUUUGGCGGGAAAGAAGAUUUCUUUGUCACACGCCAUGGUUUCGCAAAAGCUACGUCUACAUGUUUUUUUUUUCCCCUAAAAAAAAAUUAUAAUUUCAUUUGACUGCCAGACAAAAUGGUUACAACUUUUCCUUGAAAAAGCUUAGAUACGAUAAUGGGAGGAAAACGGUGCUUGAAUCAACUUACACGCUCAAAUCCGAUGGUGCUAGUCAAUUAUCCUUCUAGAUCUACGGGUUUUUGAGAUAAUAAUGCAUGCUGUUUUCUAUAUAUAUUUUUUUCAUUUUUAACAUUAACACGUUCAAACCAUUAAAAAAAAAAAAUUAAAAAAAAAACAUCGAAGCAAAAAAAAGAAAUUAUAAUUUCAUUUGAAUGCCGGACACAAUGGUUACACUUUUUCCUUGAAAAAGCUUAGAUACGAUAAUGGGAGGAAAACGGUCCUUGAAUCAACUUACACGCUCAAAUCCGAUGGUGCUAGUCAAUUAUCCUUCUAGAUCUACGGGUUUUGAGAUAAUAAUGCAUGCUGUUUUCUAUAUAUAUUUUUUUAAUUUUUAACAUUAACACGUUCAAACCAUAAAAAAAAUUAAAAAAAAAAACAUCGAAGCAAAAAAAGAAAUUGUACUGAAUUAGCGCACCCCUGGCAGGCAACCGGGGAACAAAAUUGGAAGGGCCAAUUUGUCAUUGAUUUGAUGCUUGGGAUUCUUGUUUGCAUGUUUUCAUGGAUCUUGACGUUCUGUAGAGCAACUAAUCACUGGAAUAUCUAAACAUAUUCGGAGCAGCUGAAUUGGGAAAACAUAAAUUAUCUCCUAAAUCAGUGAUUCGAAAACUUGCGAGUGAGCAACUAAUUAUAGAGAUUUAAACAUUGCAGGGUGUGAGUAGAGAGUUCAUCAACAAGCUAACCUCACGAAGCCCCAAGCGUAUGUUAAUUUGCAAUCCCUUUGUUAUUUUCUUUGAAGUAACAUGAAAGCUGUAAAGCACCUAAGAAAAAUACGUGAAAUAUGACUAGUCCCCCACCACACAUGUUUCGAGAGGUGAUUAGUAACGCAAUACUAGUUUUUUUUUUUAAUUUUUAUUUGAAAAUAUAUUAAAAUAAUUUUUUAUAUUUUUUAAAAAUUAGAUCCAAAACAUAUAAAAAAAUUAUUAUUUUUAAAAAACUUAAAUUUUUAAAUAAUAUAAUUUAAACUGCAAUCUAAACAUCCAUUUAAAAGCGAAGUUACAGCUAAUAUGAGCUAAAUAUUAUUCUUGUCCACACAUGCGUUGUCUGCGAUACUCACAUAAUUUGACUUCUUAAAGUUUAUAGUGCACCCACAUUUUUAAAUGAAAACUUUUGUAAGGUAUAAUAAUCAAAUCACUUGGUCCGUUCUAAGGGGGGGAAAUUUUUUUAAGACAAAGUAGAUCGGUGGGAAAGCGAGGUUUCUGUAAUUUUUAAUUAAUGCCCGUCUAUAGUUUUUUAUUUUAUUUUUAUUUUUUUUGCUUCACAGAAGGGCAAAAAAAUAUCUCCAAGCAUUUUAUUGCUGUACUAAAAAGGCACUUUUGUCCAACACGCACAGUCGGUCUCUACUUGUAGGUGUCCUCCAACACCAUUAGUGAUUCUUUAGGGGACCCGACAUGACAUGUAAAUAUCCUUAAUUAGAGGCUUAGUUUUGUACUAAAUAAAACUGAAGACCUUACGAGAAAAGGAGUAACUUGAUUAGGUUUAUAUUAUUAUUCAUUUUUAUAAAAAUUACAAUAUAAAAGGAAAGAUUUGAUUAAGAUGUAUGAGAACUAAUUCCACAAUACUCUUUUAUGAAGGAUUUAAAAGGAAAUAUCCUAUAGUUUAUAUAUAUCAAGACUUCAAAUUACCAUAAAAAAAUGAAGCAAUAUUUUGUUAAUUCUUUUAUUGUGGAAAUAAAUACAAGGUGUUAAGUAAAGAAACAAGCAGAACCACGUGCAAGAAGAGAUUUGAUUAAUCUAAAGACAAGAUUGCGGCGGCCGACGUUUCCCCAAAUCGCGCCACCAAUCACUCCUAUACAUUACGGACACCACAAAAUACCACAAAGGUAACGAGAGGAUGCAGUAAUACUAGAUUGAUAGAUAUUUUCAACGUUCGAGUAUAGUUAGAGUUAUUUUUGAAGUAUUUUUUAUUUUAAAAAUAUUAAAAUAAUAUUUUUUAUUAUUUUUUAAAAAUUAUUUUUAAUAUUAAUGUAUUAAAAUAAUCUAAAAAAACUAAAAAAUAUUAAUUUAAAAUAAAAAAAUUAAAAUUUUUAAAAUUUUUCAAAAAUACUUGUAAAUAUAAAAACAUACAGGAUGUCUACAUGGAACGAAACCAGACAAAACUCCAACCCCAUGUGUUAUGUUUUUCUUUUUAUUAAUUUGCUGGCACUAAACGAUGUGUUCUUGUUCAUCAUUCUUGAGUUACUACUCGAUAACAAGGACGAUAUCUAAAAGUGAUGGAAACGCGAGCAAGUAACACCCGCACACAUACUUUGAUGGGAUCUGUUUUUUAUUUAUAGAAUUUGUUUACUGAAAAAUAAUUUUUUAUUUUAAAAAUAGUUAUUUUUAAAGUAAAAUUUUAAAAUAUAAAUUAUUUUUUAAUGUUUUAUAAUAUCAUAUGAAAUGACUUGAAAAAUAACUUAUUAAUACUUUAUUUUUUAAAAAUUUAUUAAAAAAAUAAGGAAAAUAUUUUGCAAAGCAAAAAAUUUAAUGAGAAUGAAAUUUAAAAAAACUUUAAUUUUAUAAAUUAUAUAAAAUAAAACAAAUAUUAAUCAAAACAAUAAUAGAGAUUAAAUUCGACAGAUAAAAAAGUUAAAAGAUAAAUGAAAUUAAAAAAAUUACAAUUUAAUAAAUUAUUUAAAACAAAAUAAGAUAAAAAAAUUUUGAUUAAAAAAAGAUGAGAAAAAAAAUAAUAAAAAAAUAAGGACUAAAGUUUAUAUAAAAAUUAAAUUUUAAAAAAUAAAAUUAAAAAAAAAUCAAAACAAAAUAUAUAAGGAUAAAUUUGAUAAAAUCAACAAAUAACAUGAUAUUUUAAAAUUUUUUCCAACUUUUAAAAAGUAUUUUUCAUUUAAAAUAAAAGUAAAUUACUUUUCUAAAAACCAAGUUAAAUUUUUUCUAAUGUAAAAUAUUUUCGUUUGCUAACUUUUUAAAUAAAAAACAAAAAUAAGAAAUUCUAAAAAAUUAUUUUCGAGUACUUAAUCCUCUUUACAUGUCCUUAAUCCUCCUCAAUGUUAUGGUCAACUUGAACAAACCAACAGGCCAUGUGAAGACCAUCCAAAAAUUAGUCAUCACAUGUAGCUCAAGACUCUUCAUUCUUUUACAGCAGGCGACAGAAUAAAUCUCAAAUUAGACUUCUUUAAAGAGAAAAAUUGAACUUGGUAAAUUAAACUACAGCAUUUUACUAGCUAUCAAGACUAGGAGAACUAAUCAAGAGUGCCAUGAUCGUUUGUAUAGGGAUGUACAAGGAUCAGGAAUUAAUAAUACAUGGAAAAAUGUCAAAAGAAAGAAGAAAAGCUAUUAUUUACAUAUAACUAGGAGAGAUUAAGAAGGAAAUAAAAUCAAAAGAAAAAAAGGUGUCCUAAUUAGGUUAACCAAAAGUCAUGGUUCAAAUGGAGAGAGACAAAAAAAUAUUCUUUUCUUUCAUGCAUCAACAUAGAUACUCACCGCCAUUUAAGCUUUAUCCUCUUCAUCUUCAUUCUUUCUCUCUCUGAUUAUGAUCUCGUUAUCAUUUACUACUUCUUAAUGGUGAUCAUCAUAUACUAAUAAUAAGAGACUUAUAUUCCUAAUCAGAAGAACAAAUCCACGAUUCCAUCAUACCUUCACUUCUUGCAGCCACAUUCUCUUGCCCCUUGUUAUCACCACGAAAAUCUGAUGACGAAGAAGCCAAGAAGUUAACUUUCCCGUUUGUAACACGCUGGGUUGAGUUAUUGUAAUUGCCAUUAAUGGACCUUAGAAGACCUUGUUGUUGAUGAUGAUGAUGGCCACCCUCAUUUGAACCAACCCCAUCUCCCCAGUUUGCAAGAUUGUUGUUGUGAUCACUUCUUCUCAUUAACGUCGCAUCUGCUGAUGGUGACGACGACGACGAAACUAUAUUUUGAAGCCCUGUAAGGUUUGUGCUAACAUGGCCAUGGCUCAUCCCGAACUCUUCUAAAACACCCAUUUUGAGAUGUGAAUCGUUUGAUGGGAUUUCUAACGAAGACCCUUGUUGUGCUUUUGUGGUGCCAAGGAUAUUGGUUGAAUUUGGAAGUGGAUAUUUAUGAGGGGCUUGAAGAAGAGGGUGGAAAUUGAGAAUUGGGUUUUGGACGUUGAUGUUGAGCAAGUUGUCGGCUGUUUAAAAAGGCCUAGAUCAGAAGGUAGUUGGUAGUUAAUGGAAGUUGAGGAGAUAUUAGUAGUAGUACUAUUAGUACAAGCACCGGAAUUAUUGAUGUUAGUUGUAGUAGUGGAGGCUAUAGCAUCAACCAUAGAAGUAGAAAAUGAUGAUGCAGUAGAGCCUGAAGAGGCAAAUGGUGGUGCUGGUGGUGGAGGUGGUUGGAAUCUUUGAGCAAACGGUCUUAAAAGGUAAGGAGGUGGUGAAGGGUCCAAAUGGUGAGAGACAGCUGAUCUCAAAGUGGAGGCUGCAGUUCCAAAUAGAUCAAGCCUGCUUCUUGGGAAAGGUGAGGACGUGAAGGGUGGUGCAGGGAUCCCUGUAAACUCCUGAACCAUGGCUCUGAAAUUGGUGGUGUCUGUGGUCAAGACAGUAGUUGGUGCACGCCUAGAAGCUCUUGAUCUUUUCUUCGGGUUUUCUAACCCUCAGUGUUACUGACUGAUCAUUUGCCCUGAAACUGAAACUGGACCUCUUGUAGCACUUUCAUGUCCAUGUGGUGGUAGAGACUGAAAAGUGGUUCUAGUUUGAGUUUGGUUGGUAAACUGUUGGGUUGGUGAGGAAGACGAAAUGAAGCCACCAAGAUCAGUGCAAUUGGGUUCAGAUCUUAAGUUCUUAGACCAAACCAUAUCAAGAUUGAGGAGUGAAUUUGGGUUCGUGAAGGAGGUGGUGGUGAUCUUGAUGAUGCCGAUGAUAAAGGAUCAAAAUAGUUUGAUAAAGGGUCAAAACAUCGUUGAUGAUGAAGAAGAGUGGUGGGUUGGUGGUGGUGGUGGUGUUCUGGUUGUGGUGGUGGUUACUAGACAUGGGACCAACAUGGCUUAAUGGGUUGUUAUUGUUGUUCAAGAAAGCUGAGAUUGACUCAGCGCGUGAAUCAUACUCUUCAUCUCCACCACUGGAGGAUUGCAUACUUCCACUAUUGCCAGAAUCCAUUUUUCUUCAAGAAAAAGAGCGAUAAACUAAAAGGGAAAGACGUAAAAGAAAGACAGAGAUAUGGAGAGAGAGAGAGAGAGAUGUAUCUAUAUAUGCAGUGAGAUUUUUGCGUGCUUGCUUAUUGACUUACCCACACAGACUCGAUCAGGCUCAUUUAAGAAGGGGGGAGAAGCUACAAAACAAAGCAUGUGGUAAUAUAAAGGAAGAAAGCGAAAAGUCUUCUGGAAGAUAAAUCAAGGAGAGCUAUUCUCAGAAAAAGUACCCCAAGUUGUCUUUAAAGCUCUGAUCUACAAAGAAGACAGCGUUUGGCUUGCUUUUACUUGGUCUUUGGACAAAAGUGUAUAUUAUGGUGUAGAGAAGGGAAUAAACAGCCGAGGAUCAUGAAAUUGAUAGUUCCGUCAGGGAAGAAAGAGAUAGAGAUGAAUGGAAGCUAACUCUCUUUGGUUGUUUUCUGUUUCCCUUUUGUUUUUAAGCCUAAUAUGGGGGUACUGAGGUGAAUUAGGGUUUUCUUCAAGAGACAGAGAGAGAGAGAGAGGUGGUUCUCCAGCCUUUUCUUCUCUCAAACAGAGGCUGCUUCUGCUCGCAGUUUCUCUCAAAAGAUCAGGGUGGGGUAGCCGAGAGGGAGAGGGCUGUGAUAGGAGAGGCAAGGCAACUGGUCAAAGUAUGUGAGAGGUGUGGUUUUGAUUCAGUGUGAAAAGAAGAAAAAGAUAAGAGGCGAGGGAGAGCUGUUAACAUAUACUACCACCAUUGUACUAGAGAGAUAAAAGUCUCUACAUUUAAGUAUGGUAUUACCAUUUUUUUUAAGAAAAAAUUAGUAUUUUUUAGUUAUUUUGAUGUGUUAGGAUUAAAAACAAAUUAUAAAAAAUAUUAUUUUAAUAUACAUUUAAAUAAAAAUAUUUAAAAAAAUAAUAUCUACCAUUCUAGCCCUACGUACUACCACAGUACUGGUACUAGAUAUAAAGUAUUGAAAUCGUCUUCAUUCACGGAUUAGAAAUGCUAUGAUUAAAAUUAUUUAUGUGUAUAGAAUAAUGUGAUGGGCACGCAACCAAAUUAGGAAAAAUGGUAGUUGAAUGGUAUAAAAAGAGGUAUAACAACCGUCACCAAUAUUGACCACCAUUUACUUUUCAAAAGAUUUAUAUAUUUUUUAAAAAUAGAAAAUUAAGUGUCUCGUGUAGUAUUUGGACUCCAUUCUGGAAAUCUAACAUUAUCUAGCUUUUGUCCCAUGUUCUCGAGGAAGGUUAGGUUUAAUGAUAGACAUUGCAAGAAUCAUUCAUGUCGAUUAUAUAUAUAUAUAUAUAGAGCAUAGGCUAGUAAAUUGUAAUUCUGGCCACAGCCUUUGACCAAGUCCAGGAAUCGUGUGAUAAAAUAUCAGGAAAAGAAAAUUAUGUUAUAAUUGAGGAACCUCAGAGAAUCUUUCACAGUUUUUUCUCUGCUGAGACGUAUAGAAGCAAAGAUCAUGAUUUUUAUUUUAUUAUACCUUGGUUUUGAAUAAUCAAGAUUCUUAAACGUACGUACGUGAUUAAUGUAAGAAAUAAUUCAGAUUAAUUUUACAUGUUUGGAAGAGAGAAGAAAAGAUAUCAAAUCUGUGGAUGGAUGGAUCUGCUCACCAACACCCUGAGUUUGCUGCAACCAUCAAAACUAAAGAGAAGCUAUAUAAAUAAUAUUGUUCCUGUUUAUAUCCUUAAUUUAGAAUAUUUAGUGAUAUUAUUUAUAUAGCUUGUUAUUAAAUAAAUUACACACACUUGGUAAUAUCUUAGACGUCUUCAUCGUUGUACGUGGUUUGAUAUGAUAUAUCUCUUGUCAAUGAUCUGUUCUUGCCGCUGCAAUAACCAAACCCUAAUCCUGAAGACCCGAAUUUCAAAUCUAUACGUAAGGCUAGCUAAAGCAGCUUGUAAUUACUGAAUCUAUGCGAUGCUUUAAUUAUUAAUUCCCAACUGUAAAAUAUAUAUCUACCAGUUCUAUGGGAUUUCUUUUUGCAGUUCUUGACAGGUACACCUUACAACCUAUCGAUCCUUUUUUCUCAACAAACAAACAAGGAAAAAAAAGAAACUGUCUAAUCUGGUUAAGGACGAAAUCAAAUCUAAUAAAUAAUAAUAAUAAUAAUAAUAAUAAUAAUAUUACUCCUCCUUGCAAGAACCAUCAUAUUUUGCUGUUCGGUUGUUUAGAGCUCUUUAGAAACAACUAAUAAUAAGAAUACAGAUAAUAUCAAGGAAAUAUUUUUCAUAAAAACUCAAAACCAGACUCGAAAAUAAUCGAAUGAUUGUUAGUUGAAGCCUCCCACCACUUCAAAAGUUGUUUAUUGAACCUUUCUUUUGUUUAAGAAAUAAAGAGAAAUAGUGUUUAAAAAAAAUGUAGGUUUUGGCAUUUUUAUGAUUUAACUGGCACUGAUUUUUUUUGGCCCAAAGAUUUUUAAUUAAUAGGUGAUGGUGUGUGUGUGUGAGAGAGAGAGAGAGAGAGAGAGAGUUUAACUGAAUUUUCAAUUCAAAGAUGAGUACAUUGCCCUUAUUACAACAAAAGCGUGAAUUUCUUUUCUGUAUUUUCGCUGUUUAUUGAUUUUUUUUAACUUAGUUCUUAUUGUACUUUGUUAUUAGGACUUAAGUUGAUAAUUCAUUUUACUUUUCUUUUUAUAUGAUCAUUGUAACAUUAAAAAAAUAUCUUGAUAUUGAAUUGAUAUUUAAAAAAUAUUUUAGUAUCGCAAUUUCAUCUAAUUUAUUUUAUAUUUAUUGAAAUAAAUAACGGUUUUUUUUUUAAGAAAAAACCAAAUUAUUAAAAUUUAUGAAGUUAAUGUCUCAAAUUACGAGUUUGAUAGAGUAAUCCAAGUUACACUGGUUCACGGGUUUGGCAGAUAUAUUUUUUUUUCUAAUUGAACUCGAUUUUGUGUUUGUCUAUUUUUAUUUUAUCAUAUGGCUAAAAAUAUUAGUUUUUUAUAUAUAUAAAGAAUCAUGUUAUUAAACUUUUAAAAAGUUCAUGGACUUGUUCACCGGUUGAAUCGCUUCACGGGUUUGGUAGAUUUAACUUUUUUAUUUUUUAUUUUUUAAAAUUAUUUCUUUAUUUCAUUAUUCUUUAUCGGGUUGAUUGGGAAUUAAGUUUUAUAAUGUUUUUUCAUUUUACUUUCUAUGAGGUUAUCACAGUCUAAAAAAAAACAUUUCAAUAUUUGGUUGGUGCUCAAUUUUGUAAUUUUCUAGUUUUUUAUUAUAUAGUUAAAUAAAAAAUAGUUCAAAAAAAACAAGUUAUUAAUCUUAGUGGAGUUUGUGACCUGGUUCACGGGUUUCAUGUGUUUACUCGGGUUACCUGAAUCAUGAGUUUGAAAGGUUUAUCCACCAAACCCAAUAUAUAUUUUUAGUUUUUGUUCCUUUAAUAAUUUUUUUGAUUGAUUUACUUUAUUUCAUCAUUUAAUAUUGGAUUAGUUGAGAGAUAUACCUUUUGAUUUAUUUCUGUUUGUUUUAUAUAUGGUUAUCACAGUAUCAAGUAAAUGUCAAUUUUAUUUUAGGGUUGGUACUUAAUUUUACAAGUAUCUAUUUUUUAUCAUAUAAUGAAAUAAAAAAAAAUUUACAAAAAAAAAAGUUAUUAAACUCAGUAGAGUUUAUGACUUUGGUUGCGAGGUGACCAUGGUUGAUCCAAUCUAGCGUCAUCUCAAUAUUUAAAAUAACAUUGUCAUUUUGAGGGUUUUUUUUUUAAGUUAAGACAUGUUUUUACUGAUCAUUCAUGUUGCAUUUGAACCCCUAAAAUCAAUUUAUUCAAUUUGGGUAAACUCCCAAUUGGUUUAAGUGAUAACUCGAGCUAGGCUACGAGUUAAGUCGGGAGUUUUUAAGAUUAAUCCACUUGGUGGGAUUUAAUGACACUGCCAAAACAUUCCCCACACCCUUGAAAUUUUUUUUUACGUUUAAAAUUAUUAGGAAAAAGCAUGAUAUAGUUUUAUCGAAAUUGCACUUGCCUAUCAGCUUUUAAAAAAUUACAAUUUACAUCCUUGAUAGAUGUAAAAUACACUAAACUAUAAGAUAAUUUAUGAUGUAAAUUAAUACACAUACAACAAAGCUCAGGUUGCAAAGAGUAAUUUUUCAAAAGUUAGUAAGCAAGUGCAAUUUUAACUCAAAUAUAAGAUAAUAGAAGUAUUUUUUUCAAAAAAAAUGGAUUCGACCUCAGACAAUAAGUUUAUGAAUGGACUAGUUUUCUCAUAAAAGAAAACAAGGUAAUCAAAUCCGUUAUGCUUAUUCCGUGUGGACAUUAAUAUGUUUAUGAAUCUUGGAUUUGUAAGGAAAAUGAUGUCAAAUUUAUAUAAAAUAUAUAUCAGAAAGUUUUUUGAUAUAUAUUUUAUAUAAAUAUAAGAUAAAAUUUUAACUAAAUUAUAAGAUGACAAAAGUAAUUUUUUCAAAAAAAAUUAAUUUAACCCUAGACGAAGCACUCAUGAAUGGACUAGUUUUCUCAUUAAAGAAAAUAAGGUAAUCAAAACUGGAUAUGCUUUUUCCAUAUAGAAAUCAAUAUGUUCAUAAACCUUGGAUUUGCGAGGCAAAUGAUGUAAAAUUUAUAUAAAAUAUAUAUCAAAACAAAUUGAAAGAAAAAAAAGUUCAAAUUAAAAUUCUAUUAAUAAAUUGAUAAAUUUUUAUAAAGUUAAUUCAUAAAUAUUGAAAUAGUAAAAAUGACUUAAAAGGUUUCACCUAUUUGAUUUUGAUUUCUAAAUAUCUAUAUUCGAAUAUUUUAAUUUGACUGAUAAAUUAGAGGCCAUGCUUUAGAAAUUUGAACCAUAAACUCGUUAUACAUUGCCACUCCCUAAACUUAAAAAUUAUGAUGAUACUUUUUUAAUAACAUAACAUCUCGUGCUUUUUAAGCAUGCAAGACAUCUUAACUUUCAUUAAAACAUUAUACUUAAAAUAAUACUAUGUUAAAACAAAAUACCUUGAAUUAUAAAUUAAUUAAAUCAAAUAUAAAUCAUUUCACAUCAAAUAACUUAACUUCAAAGUUAAAAUACACACACACACACACAACAAGUCUAAAAUCAUAAAUUGAUCUAAUUAUUAAAAUAAUAAAGUCUAGAAAUCAAUUAUAAACUUCCAAAACAACCAUUUAAUAUUCUAAACCUCUUCCAAGUGAUUUAAUAGUUUACUAAGUAAAUAAAUCAAUUCAUAGUAAAUCAGAUUUUAAUAUUCUAAACCUUUUCCAAAACUACAACUAUUUUUAGAAAAUAGUUUACUAAGUAAAUAAAUCAAUUCAUAGUAAAUCAAGUUCUUUAUGAAACACCUUCCACGCACUCUGAUUUUACACAAAAAUUAAUUAAUUUUACAAUUUAAAUGUUUCAAACCAAGGUGCACUUGUUGCUAAUCAUAUGUUAAAUCUUGGUGAAGUUGUGAAGCAGUGUAAUCUACAACAUGUUUUGGAUUAGGAACAUAUCUUCUCAACACAGAAAUAUGAAAAACAUUAUGGACACCUGACAAGGCAAGCAUACAGGCCAUUUUUUCAACUCUCUUUAAUAUCUCAAAAGGCUCAACAUAUCUAGGACUUUACUUUCCUUGAAUUCUUAACCUCUUUACUCCUUUAGUUGGUGAUACUUUGAGAAAGACAAGAUCACCAAUAUUGAAUUUCAAAUUACACCUCUUGCAAUCAGCAUAACUUUUUUUAUAUACUCUGUAUUACAUAUAGUUUUUCUCUUAUCAAUUGAACAUUCUCCACAAUCCUUUAUAUCAUAACUGAUCCUAACUCUUUCCUCAGUAUCCUAAAUAUUGAUAUGGAAUCACUAACAAAAAUUUUAAAUAUAUUAAUAUUUAAUAUUUCAUCUAUAUUUUAUCAGUAAAACCUAAUAUAAAAGAUCACGAGCACAACAAAUGAGGCUUCAUCUUCUUCUUUACUCCUCUUUCUACCUUUCUUUAUUUUUCUCGCUUCUUCUUCACCCUUAUUUUUAUUCACAAUCCAAGCUAAAAUCAAGCAUCAUCUUCUCUCUUCUCAUCCUAAGAUAUGUUGUCUUUCUUCAAUUUCCUCUUUAUUUUUCAGGUUUUUUUAACAAUCUCUUUUCAUUUAUUUUCCUUUUUUUUUGUUUUUUCAAUUCUCAACCGACACUAAUCAUGACAUAAAGGUAAGAAUUUUUUAUUCAUUUUUCUUCUUUAUUUUGUGUUGAUUUUUAUUUUUUAUGUAAAUCUGUUUUUCAUUAUUUUAAAGAAUUUUAGCUAUUUUUUUCCAAUUUUGUUCAAUUUCAAUUAAAUAUGUAGGAUUAAUUUUAAUUAUUAUUUUAUAUAUUUUUAAUUAAGAUUAAAUUUUUGUAAAUUUAGGAAAAAUAUGUUGUGUAUUAUUCUAAUUAUUUUGAAAGAAAUUGAAUAAAAUCAAUUGGUUUGUUGCAUAUAUGUUGUGUAUUUGCAAGUUUAAAUUUUUGGGUAGCCUUUCAUAUAAAGGAUGUGCAAUAACAUCAGUCUUUAAAUCAUCGAUUCAAAUUUUAUUGUUUCAAUAGAGCCAGGUUUCCAAAUAUUUAUUUUUAAAUUGUCAAUGAAAACCGUUGAUCGAUGCAUGAUUUUCAAGGUUCAAGGUUAGUAUUAACUUAAGUAUUUUUUUUGUUAUAUUAAUUUGGUUAGUUUGUUGAUUUGUUUUUCUUUUACUAACAUAUAAUUUAUUGUUAACAUAUAGGUUUUGUGAUUUUUAGUACGAGACGCAAAAGAAAACAAAAAUAUAUGUUAGAGAAAGUGAGCUUCUAGCUUGGAAUGAUGUAAUAGUUUGGAAGGAUUACAAACCGCCAUAUAUCUUGAAAGUUGUAUGGGAGAACUACAUUCAGUAUUUGAUGUCCACGUGUUUUACUCAAUAGCCAUGGUUCAGUACGAAGAAUCGACAUCGGCGUGUUCUCGAUCCUGUUACCACACACACCGAUAGCUCUAUUCCAUUAGUUUCGCAUGUGAAAUGGAUGUUAUAAUUUUUUUAAUUACUUACAUUUUUUAUUUUUUAUUUUUUAAUAAAUAUAUUUAACUGACAAUAUUUUUAUCUUGCGGGUUAUUGUUAUUGGACGUGAGCCAAGCCCAGUGAAACUUGUUGCUGAAAUGCAUAUGCAUAGUGAUGACUGCCAAAAAUGAGUACAACAGUUCGUGUAUUGUCGAGCUCAGCACUUUAUGGUAUGCUAGUUUUUGACCAUUUUUUUAUUAAGUUAUAAUUUCUUUUAAUUUGAUAAAUUUAUUUUUUUUCUUUCCAGGAUACAUAUAACAACUACUUGAAGGAGAGAUAUAAGGAUGAUCAUUCGACCCAUUCAGAUCUCAAUACAGAUUUAUAGUCGAAGGUAGGAUCGUUCGGUGAGCCUUAUAGAAAUUAGGUGUAUGAACUUUUUAACACUACGACCAAAAACUUACAGAUAAACCGUAAUGUUUUGACUGUUGAAUGCUCACAAUCGAUCCCAAGCAUUCAAACUUUGAAGUUCGAGGCAAUGUUAAACCAGUGAGUACAAGAUCGGACGCCUCACCUCAAUGAAAAAUAUGAACGACUCACUACGAAUUAUAAAGAGUUUUGGAAAAUAAUAAUGGAUAUGAGAUCACACAUGGAUGAUCCAUGUGCUCCUCCAAUUCAUCAUUUUUUUUCAAUUCCUUAAUUUCACAUUUAUUUCAAAUUAAAUCUAUGAAAAAUAUAUAAAAUCACUUUCAAUGACUUCAUAUCAUUUUAUGACUCCAUUAGUAAAAGACUCACUCUUUAUAAAAGUGAUUCAAAAUAAAAAAAAAUCAUAAAAACCCUAAUUUCUAAAUCUUUCUCAAUAACUCUAAUAUGCAUUCAAAAACUUAAUUAAAAGGUAAUGAUAGAAAACACACACUUAAAUUGAUAAAAGAAAAUAAAGACUUUGAUCCUAGGUCAAAUAUCCUCCUCAUCUUCCUCUUCCUCUUCAUCUCUUUGUUGAUUUAGGUUUUGAUUGUCUACAAAAUAUAACAUAAGUUACUAUAGGAUUUUAUUUUCAUUUUAUUCUCUAAAUUAUUAUACAAUUACUAAUAUAUUCACUAUUACUUAUGAUACCCUUAAUUAAUAAAAACAAUAUAAUUAAUAAUAUACCUACUAUUACUUAUAAUACAUUUAAUUAAUAAAAAAGAUGUAAUAAAAGAAAUAAUUAAUUAUAUUAUUCUAUUUAUUAUUACUAUUUUUAUUUUCUUUCACACACGUAACAAUGUUAAUCUGAUUAUCAAAGUUUAAUAGUAGUUUCAUUCUUUUUUAAAAUUACAGUGCCACCACAAAAAUUAACACUAUUUCAAAUUCUACUGGAACUAUGAUGGGACCGGCCAUUUUUUUUUUAUGUUGAUGUUAUUUUGACCUUUAAGGGUUUUCGUGUAAGAAAGGUAAGGGGUGGUUCUUUUUGUUUUAAAAAAAAAAAAAUUAAAGAAAGCGAACAUUCCAUCUAUUGCUAUCGGGUGAUUUAACAGCAAGGGCCAUAUUGAAAUGUAUGGGAACAUUUCAUUUAUUUUUUAUUUACUUUAAAUUAAUAUAUUUUUUAUAUUUUUAGAUCAUUUUAAUGUAUUAAUGUGAAAAAUAAUUUUAAAAAAUAUAAAAAUACUAAUUUAAUAUAUUUUAAAAUAAAAAAUAAUUUUAAAAACAUUUAUAAAUAUACUUUUAAAUAUCAUACUGCUAGUACGGUAAGGAUUUGUUUUUGCUUGAUGUCUAAAUCGUGUGUCAAUAAUUUCAGGAUCAUAAUUAAAUUAAAAGACAUCCUUAAAAAAAAAAAAAAAGCCUAAAUAAGAGUAAUUGCAAGAGGAUCCCUUACAAAACUCUCGAUUUUUUUGGGCGUGGUACAUCCUGCAUCCCAUCCAUCACAUCCUGCCAGUUGUUGGAAAUUCUUACAAAACAUAGCUAAUAUUUAUUUUAUAAAUUAUUUUGUCUGCGAUUUAGGGUAUCAUCAUUAGCAUGCGCUAUGAAACGGAUGAUUAGCUGGAAUCAUAUGAUUUUUUUCUUAUAAUAAAAAAGCGUUCACGUGUAUUGCUAACAUGUUCUUUUACUAUAAAAUUAAAACUUAAGAAAAUAUAAAGACAUUAUGAAGUUAAAAAUUUGAUAUAUACGGACAAAAAAACUUUUAAAAUACUGAAAAAUUGAUAUAUUAGAUAACAUAUUAUUUUUAAAAAUAUAUAUUAAAAUAACAGCACAUUAAAUCAACUUGGUAAAAUCUUGGUUAAAAUAUAAGAACAUGAUAACCUCACAAAACCUAUACCAAAAUAAAUCAAGAAGGUCAGUUGUGAUGAACCAAAUAUUAAAAGUAAAAAAUAAAGAAGAAAAACACUAAAUCUAAAAGAAAAGGGGGGACGACUAGAGUAAAUCUAGAUUGGUGGUCUGUACCACAUCAAAUUUGCAACGCAUGAUAUUGUAUAUUGGGUUCAAUAAAAAAGUUUAAUUUCUAAUAAAUUCAAUACUGAAUAAUAAAAUUGUUAAAAAAAUAUAUUCAUAAAUAUUGCCAAAGCAAAAAUAAAAACCAACAAUAAAAAGAAUAAUGAUCAAACUUGGCAAGGAAAAAAUUAUAAAGGAUAAAAUUGCAACAAAAAAAAUCAAUUUAAAAAACCAUCUCAAACAUAAAAAUAAGAAUAAAAAGAAUAGGGACUAAAUUUGAGAAAUUGAAAAAUUAAAAGAGGAUGAAUUUGAAAACAAUUUUCAAUUUGAAAUAAUUCAUUGAAAUGAAAGAAGUGCAAUUAAAAUAAGAUGCGCUAAAUCUCUAGAAAAAAUAAUUUAAAGGGUUGUUAUGAUUUGUUGCAAGGGCGACACACCAAUCAAGGUGGAGAGAGAGGAAAAAAAAAUAAAAUCCAAAUGGUGUCAAACUAGCUAGAAUGAAAAUACAUGCGCUGUCAUAUAAGUAGUCAUUGCCAGGACGAAUCGAAAAACAUCCUGAAAGGCUAUUUUUUAUCACUGUAAGCUUGAAUGCGAUGAAGUGGCUUACACGCUGGUGUGUGCCACUUUUUUUUUUUUUUGUAGUUCAAUAAAAAUACAAAUGUGCCCCUAAUAUCACAUAAAAGCCAUGAAAAACCAAGAGGAAAGUAUUAAUAAGCCCUAAGGCCUAAAGAAAAUGCUAAAUUUUUUAAAAUUCCAAGGGCUAUAUAGUCAUUAUAGUGUGUUAAUAAAAAGUGCAAUAAACCCCUAGAUUUAAACUAACAAAUCUUUUGCUUCUAAUAACAUCUAAAUAAUUUUACCAUGCUAUUAUAUGAAAACAAGAAAGAUCAAGCCACCCCUAAUUAAAUCAAUAAUAACCUAUAGAACAAUGAAAAGACCUAAUUACCCUUCAUAGAAAGCCUUGAUGUACAAUGGUUAGAAGGGCAAGGUUGUCCCUCAAUUAUUCCAAUGAAUAGUAAUUUUUCUUUUAUGCUACAAGACUUUAUUAACAUAUUUUAAUUUUUGUUAAUUUAAAAAUAAUAAUAUGAGAGUUGAUUUAAUGUAACCCGGUUAACUUAAUGAAUCUAGAGAUAACUCGAAUGACUAGUAAAAAUAUAGUCUGAAUUAAAUAAAUUUCAAGAUAAUAUUUUUUUUUUAAAAAAUAAUAUUAAAAUGACAACAAAUUGGAUCGAUUCGAGUCAACUUGGAAUAACUUAACCAAAUUCACAACAAAAACUCAUAAGGCUGUCACAUUUUCAUAGAAAAUAAAUUAAAACAAAUUAUGAAAUAUAAUUCUCAGUUAACCUAAUAUUUAAAUAAAUUAAAAAAAAUCAAUUAAAAAAAUAAAAAAUGAUCAAAGUCAACAAAAGUUAACCUGUCAAACUCACAACCCAAGUCAUAAGAUCAACAUAACCUCAUAGAAAUAAAAUCAAAAUAAAUUAUAAAAUCCGAUUCUCAAUGAACCUAAUAUUGAAGGAUUAAUGUUAAAAAAACAAUUAAAAAAUGAUAAAAAAAAUAACCAAAAUCAACUCGAGUCAUGAGACCGAGAUAAUUUCAUAUAAAAAAUUCAAAAUAAUUUAUGAAAUUCAAUUCUCAAUAAACCUAAUAUUAAAUUAUAAAAAAAAAAUCAAAAGAAAACAUUAAUGUAUGGCAAUGAUCAAAUAAGAAAUGCUUUUAUAAAUUUUCAAGAGUAAAUAAUGAUAGUUAACAUUAUUUCAUAUAAGAGAGAUAUAUAGAUAUAAGAAAAAAACGAUAGGGGAGAUAAUUAAAAAAAUGAUGAAAUUAAAAAAAAAAAGAAGAGAGAGAGAAUGAAUAAUUUUGUGGAAUGUGAAUGGACAUGGAUUAAGGGUAUAUGUUAAACUUGUAGAAUGAUAAAAUUAAUGUACAUGAAGAACUAUUAUAGUACAAGAGUUUGGGGGUAGAUUGAGCUUUAUUUGAUUAUUAUUUCAUAAUAAAAAAGACAAACAAUUGUGAUACAGAGGACGAGAAAGAAUAUAAGAUCUGAAGUUAUGUUAGAUAGUAAUGUAUAAGAUAAAUUAAGUAUUUAUGUAUUUUGUUUUGUUGAUGAAGGAGGAGACAAAAUAAAAUAUAAAAAAUAUUUGUUUUAUCCUUUAUAUGUUUUAUCAUCAAACUUGCCAUAAAUUAUUAAUUCAUCAAUAUUCUUAUUUUUAAUAUAAAUUCAAAAGAAAUAUUAUUUAUCUAAUAAAUUGUAAUUUAGUUUGGUUAAUCCAUUUUUUAUUGAUAUAAAUGAAUAAAAAAAAUUAUAAUCUUCUUUAGUUGGUUAAUUUUAUUCAAUUUUUAUUUGAUAAAAUGAUAAAGAGAAUUUUAUAAUACACAUGUAAGAAAAAACAAAACUAUUGUAAAAAAAUUGGAAAAGGUAGGAAAGAUAUAUACUUAGUUCAAUCAAAACCCUCUAGAAAUGAACAAAUGCCAAAUCCUCCCUGUAAAUCCUCUCUCCCGUUGCAGGAUAAAAAGAAAGAAAACAGUGUUUUUAGACUCCUUAAAAAUGUUUUCAAGAGUAUUUUUGGAAAUUAAAUUUUAUUAUUUUUUUGUCUCUAACAUUGUUUUAAAAUCCUAACUAGCAAAAUAAGUUAAAUUAAGGUCUAAAUUAGUUUAAAUUAAAAAAUAUAAAUAAAAAAAUAAACUUGAUUAAUAAAUAACUCAAUCAACUUAAGAUUAACCUGAUCAAAACUCGACCAUUAACCUAUCUUGUUUUUUAAUCAUGCCGGAGCGAGCACACUUUACGGGUUUCCUUGUAUAGAUAUAGGCCAAGGUUUUUUUUUUUUUUUUUUUUUAAGGAAUAUUAAUUAGUUUUACAUGUAAAUGCCCGUGACUUGUGAUAAAUUGCGCGUUUGUUUGACGUGCUACUAAGAGAUUCUGUUUAAUAUUCACACAAACAAAGUACCAAUAAAAUUAAUUCCGUUUAAUGUUUCGCGCGGCGAGUUAUUUUGGUCCCCCUUCCAGCAGAGCAGAGGGGUAGUCAUGUCCUUCAGAGUUUAGGAUCUAUCUCUCUAAGGUUUUAUUUUUACAUUUUUAAAGUAUUUAAAAAAAAAAUAUUUUUUUAAUUUUUUCUUUAUUUUAAAUUAAUAUUUUUAAAUUAUUUUAAUGUACAGAUAUUAAAAAAUAAAUUUUAAAAAAUAAAAAAUUAUUUUAAUAUAUUUUUAAGUAAAAUACAUUUUAAAAUAACCCCAUAAAGACACUCCCGCUCCCAGACUCUAUGAUUCAUUUGGCUGCGUAGGAUCACUUCACCUUCAUAAGCGAGUGCUGGGGGAGGAGAGGCACAUAGUAACAUGCUUCCAAACAGUUGAAUUGGACGGUGAGCAGAGGGCUUCUUCGGUUUGAGGUUUUGACUGUUUUUGUUUUUCCCGACUAAUCAUGAUUUUGAAAAAUUUUAUUUUAUUUAUUUUAUUAUUAUUUUGAUAUACUGAAAAGUAAUUUUUAAAAAAUAAAAAAUAUAUUAUUUUAAUAUAUUUCCAAAUAAAAAAUAUUUUAAAAAACCUCUAUCACAUUCUCAAAUACUAUCAUUAUUGUAGGCUUGUUGGUGAGUAGUAUACAUGUAUUUGAUUAAUUUACAAAAAAUUUUAAAAAAAGUAUGUGAUUUUAUUGUACUCUCCUCAUGGAAUACUAUUCACUAUAAUAGUAUUUUGUUUUUUUUCUUUAGUUUUUUUUUAAUCUAUGUUUUUUUUUUCAUUUUAAUUAAAUAUUGAGUUUCAUAAUUUUUUUCAAAUUAUUUUUCAUUAGGUUAUCACAAUAUCAUGAUCUGGACCGCGUGUUUAACAAGUUGACUCAAGUUUUUUUUCCUUUUCUUAUUGAUUUUUUUUUCAAAUUCAUCCUUCGACAUUGGACUUAUUGGACUGAUUGAGGAUUAAGUUUCGUGAUUUAUUUUAAUUUUUUUAUGAAAUUAUUAUAAUCUCAUAACUCAAGUCACAUAUUUGACUAAUUAGUGCAGGUUGACUUGAGUCAUUUUUAUAUCCUUUUUUAUCAUUUUUUUUAUGUCAUUAGAAUUUCUUAUUUAUUUCAAUUUGUUUUCUAUUGGGUUAUCUUAGUUUCAUGAAUCAGGUUGUGAGUUUGAUAGGUAAACUAGGGUUGAUUCGAGUCAUUUUUUUUCUUUUUAUUAAUUGAUUUUUUUUUUCUAAAAAAAUUGUCCUUCAACACCAGGUUUAUUAAAAAUUGAACUUCAUAUUUUGUUUUGAUUUAUUUUUUAUAAGGUUAUUAUAAUCUCGUGACUUAGUAUAUGAAUUAGAAGGUUAACUUAAAUUGAUCCAAAUCGAUUUAAUAUAUUUUUUUGUCUUAAUAUUUAUAAAGAAUGUCAUCUUGAAUAAUUAUUUUGAGUAAAUCAUGUUUUUAUCGACCAGUUGAAUUGUAUUUAGACUCAUUAAAUCAAACGAGUUAUAUUAAAUCAAUUUCAAUAUAGUUUAAUUAAUUUUUUUUACUAAAAAAAUAUUAGUAAUGACUAGAUAUUUUUUUUUUACAUUAAGUGUUGCACUGGAAAAAAAUAAUCUAAUAGUACUCUGAAAUAUAGUCAUAAUAUAAUUACAAGUAUAAAAAAAAUAUAAUAACCUGUAUUAAAUAUUUGUGCGGACUUUCUAUACCUUGUAAAAAAAAAUACAAAAGCAUUAAAUGUUAGCAUAGUAGUACAUUGGAAUGAAGACAGAUUUCUGUCUUCAUGUUGAAAGAUAAAUGAGAACCAAGAAAAAGUAGAUGAGGCAUGAGGUGUUAAUAUUCUUACUAAAAACUAAAAAUCAACUAGUGUACGAGUUACUUUCUUCACUGUUCAUUAACGAAAACAAAAAAAAGUACACAGUUGGUCACUGUGUUCAACAGGUGUUAUUUUUUACGCUCUAAAAUUAAAUUUUAAAAGCUCAACUCUAAUUAUAAUUUUUUUUUUUAAUUUUUUUUUAUCAAUAUUAGAGUUAGAGAAAGAGAGAAUAACUGGUUACCACGGAAUCAAUAAUAAAAAUAAUCAGUGAAUAAAUUUUAUUUGAUAAUAAAAGUUUGAUAGCAGUAAUUGUUUUAUAAGAUCUUGAAACAUUGGGUAACUCAAGCCUAUUAUUUGGGUUGAUUUUUUUUAUUAAAAAAAAAAAUUUAGCAUUGAGUUUUUUUAUGAAUUUUUUAUAUUUUUUUUUUUAAAAAAUUUUAUUUUUUAAUAUUAAAUUGAUUUUAAAUAAAUUUUUAUUUUUUAUUAUAUAAAUAAAAUAUUAUUAAAUUAAUUAAAAUUCAAAACUCAAAUAAUUUUUUUUUUGAAUCUCCACUAAGCUUCGUUUGGACCGCACUCAUAAAAAAAGAAGAAGGAAGCUUCAUCUCAUAAUAAAAUUUAAUUCUGUUCACAUAAGAAAAAGAUAUAUUGUAUCUAAAACAAAAUACAUUAGUACAUUAAUUAUGGUUGUUCUUACAGUGAUUUAGCCAUAAACUCUAGUAGAAUUUCUUUCUCCCUCUCUCUGUUUUUCUUCUUCUUCUUCUUUGAAUUUUAUAUUGCAACACAGCUGUGACGAGCUGUGUAUGCAGUUACAGCGAUGCAUUACAUUCUCGUUCUCCAGUUAUAUUCCCUAAAUCAGAAUUUGUCCAUUACCGCUUUACGAAUAUCUUCUCCUGUCCUUGUUGACUUCUUCUUCUUCUUCGUCUUCCUCUCUCUCUCUCUCUCUCUCUCUCUCUCAUUUCCAGGACCAAUUUACACCAGCCAUCUAGAAUACAAGUAACCAAAAAGAUAUAUUUUGAAUUAUACCACUUCAAUAUUAGCUGUAUCUGAAACCCUACAAGCGAUAAAAAGGAACUUCUCAAGAGAUCUAAACAUAAAAUAUUGUGUACUCAAAACACGCAUGGAAUCAUAUUUUCUAUUUUCUAGUCGAAAUUCUAAUACAUAUGGAAUCAUAUAUACAGAGAGAGAGAGACGCAUUUUAUUUUGUUCCAUAAAAAAUAUGCUUGUUUGGACCCAAGAAGAUCAUCAGAAGGGGAUGAAAAUGACAUAUUCUUGAGAAUACUCUUUCCUGGAAAAAAAAAAUAUUUGCAGAGAAGAAGAUAAUAUCAUAAAAAUUCUGAAAUUGCAUAUAAGUUUCAAUAUCAUACUUUACCUAAUCCCAAUAAGGCAACUGAGUUUUACAUUGCUUACAUUACAUGUAUGAUUAGACACCACUUCCACCCUUCUAACUCUCCUUUUUAAAUAGUAUAAUCCUUGCUAGCUAGAAUAUCUGAUGAUUUCAUCAUAUUUUUUAGAGGUCAACGGCGUAGCAGGUUAACCUGAUUUACCAUGUCCCUGUUGAACACCACCACCGCCACCAAUUUAUUGUAUAUAUAAAAGCUGAGAGCCUUCCUUCUCUCUUGUGUGUCUAUAAUACUGAUUUCUGAUUGAAUUUAGAUAAAAUAAUAAGAAAACUUAUUAAACCCAAAUUUAAUACCCAAUAAUCGUAGGUAUUUGCCGGUGUUGUCUUCUUACUGACCCUCUCUUCUCUCUAAUUAAUGAGCCAUCAUCUUACACAUAACCCCGUCAAUUUUACUUGUCAUUUAGUGUUGCUUAUUGACAGAAAUUAGCUCCACGUCUGGGCCCACCCACAGGAAGAAAGGAACCGCGCACCAAAUUUCUCCCGCACUUCACAGCAUAGUUGUGAACCGGACUCGAGUUUGAUUUUAUAAAACAGUCGGGUCAAUGUGUAAUCUGUCAUGUAGUGUUGCUUAUUGACAGAUAUUUUUUUUAAAAUAUCUGGUUUCAAUGCAUCUAAAUAAGAUUGCAGAUCAAUAUGUCAGGUUAAUUUUGAUUUAACAGAAUCAAUAUCAAAACUUGUUCAAAUUAAAAUCUGGAUCGGUUUGGUUUUCGAUCAAGUGUUUGCAAGAUCAGCCCAUCAAGCAGAAGGGGUUUUAAUAAACAUGCUUCAUACGAGGAGAUUCCUAGGGUUUGAACAGUAAUACUAAGAGCUCCUAAUGACUGGAUGCCUGCCGUGUUCUGGACAUGAAAAUUGAUCAAUUGAUACGAUACAUAUGAAAGCAAUGUUAGAGCUAGAUAUUCUUCAACCUAACAGUAACAGCAGUCUUGUCAAUUUUGAGUAGGAAUAUAAUUGACACCUACCAAAAAAAUUGACCAUUUUUGUUUCUCAUCAUGCAAGUAUUAGUCUCGAAAUAGGCAUAAAAAUCAGACAACUCCAAGCCCAACUCCAUCUACAACCCAGAUUUUUGCUGACAAAUUCUAACAAAAUAACCUCUUUUUUUUCGUUUUUUUUCCUUUGAGUUGCAUCAAAUUGCCCAUAUUUAUAUACUCUUUCCAUUCCAUAUCAGCAUAGCUUCAAAAUGUAAAUUAUAUAUCACGGGUCAGUUUAGUUGAGGCGUCCAUGUUUGAAGUUUCAAAAUGGAGGAGCGGUGGGUUAGGGUCAAGCAUCACAAAAGUCCAUAAAGAUGGUGCUGGUCAAAUGGUCCCAUUGAUGUUCUUUGUUGGAGCUUUGUGUGCCAUAAGUUGUGCUUUCGUUUAAGGAGUUGUAACCUUUGACAGUUGAAUUGUCUUUCGCCAGCAAGUCUCCAGCACUGGAUCCUAGGCUUUGACAGUUUGAUCUUCUAGCAAAUUUGCUGACAAAAAUGUGGUCAACGACACAGACAUGGGACACCAAAGCCUUGUCAUUUGCUGAAGGCACAGGCUUGCAGGCCGCAGCACCAAUUUGUUUCCACCAUUACGAGGCUAAAGCCCAUACUAUCUAAGCACCAUAAUCGUUGAUCCCUAGUCAAUGCAGGCCCAAGACUUAUGAAACCUUGAAGGUCUAGUCUCUUGUACAAAGCCCGAGAGAAAUCCAAAGCUUUCUUUCUCUGAUUUUUUAGAUAUUUUACAGACUCGAACUAAAGUUAUCCGUAGCUAACAUGGAAUCUGCUAAUCAGAGGUGGAACCAUAACUGUAGAUUGAAAGGAAAAAUAAGAAAGUAGUUGGUUACUAUCGUGGCCCGGUAGUAAGAGCUUAGGAUCAAAAAAUUUGUUUUCUUUGUGGUCUCAGGUUCGAGCCCUGAGUUGCUCAUAUGAUGGCCACUAGAGGCUUAUAUAGUCGUUAACUUCAGGGCUUGUGGGAUUAGUCGAGGUGCGCGCAAGCUGGCCCGAACACCCACGUUAAACUAAAAAAAAAAAAAUAGUUGGUUUUUGAAGAUGGAAAACAUGUAAAAUUGAAAAAUAUAACUAAAAUUUCUCAAAAUCUUAGGACUAAAAUGUAAAAUCUUCUAAGUUUAGAGAUGCCAUUACCCCGCUAAACUUCAACUGCCUUAAGCCCGUUGAUGCAGCCACUAGCGAGGCGAUCAGAGAUCUUGUUGUCGAUCUCACCAUCUUCUACCUGCAGUACAAGUAAGGAUAACACCAUGCAUCCUCUUUGCUUUGACAUUCCCCCCUUUCUUUAAUUUACAAGUCUUUAAUUUCUAAGUUCACUAAUGCUAGCCUUUCCUCGAAACAAAGGCACCUGACUGUAUCCUUUGUGCUUGUCGUAUUGGUGGAACCCCGAGGAAUUCCUUGGACCUGCUCCUUUGCUCCAAGCUCAUCGAUGGAUCUGUGACAGGUAACUUGUUAUUCUUGCAGCCCUUCGCCUCAAACGCUAUCAUCUGAUGCAAAAGGGCUCCUUCGAUUUUACUAAAACAUUAUGAUAUUAUCAAAAAACAAUUUCUGCGUAGCAGUCGGGAUGAACUUGCUGAUGAAAGGUUGCAAUUAGCAUUAACGGAGGAUCACAAGAGAUUAUACAGAUGCAGAACUUUGAAGAAUUGCACUGCUAUCUGCCCCCAAAAGCCUAAAUCCUGCCGAUGCUAUUCACAAGAUGAAGAUUAGGCAUUUACUUUCUGUGCCAACGGAGGAAGUGGCACAUAGGAAGUGGAAAGCGAUAACAGUGUCAAAGUAUGCUAAACUUAGUUAAUUCAAAUUGACUGACAUUUUUAUUUAUAUAUUUUUUAAUUUAUUUUUAAUAUUAAAUUAAUAAAAAAAAUAGUUUUCAUAAUUUAUUUUAUUUUUUAAAUAAAAUUAUCAAAUUCUGAGUUUUACAAGUUAAUCUAAAUCAAAUAAAAAUCAUAUUUUCUUUAUGUUUUUUAAAAAGAAUUUAAAAUAAUUAAAGCAACCUUAUUUUAACUAAGAAGAUUUGAAAAAAAAUUAACAAAUAUUUGAUCCAUGUUUUAUCUUGAAUUCACCCGAUUCAAGUCGAAUUAAUCAUUCCUUUAUUGCUUCUUAAAAUUAGACAAGUUUAAGCUACAUGUCAGCCCACUGUCGAGUCAACUUGAUCAGUCCUGAUUUUAUAAUUGAAAUAUUAUAAUAUUAUUGAUUUCAACAUUCAAUAUAAAUUAAAAUAAAUAAAAUAAUAUUUAAUUAUUUUUCUAAAUAUGUAAGUUUGACUAUUAAUAUUAAUACAUGUUAAAGAUAAAAUAGAUUUUUUUAUAUUUUAUUUUGUCAAACCUAUCAUAUUCAAAUAAAAUACAAAAACUAUCAUUUUAUCUCUCUCUCUCUCUCUCUCUCACACACACACACACACACACACACACACACACACACACACACACACACACCACACACACACACAAUUACCAAUAUAAUUCUAUCUCUAUUUUAUUACUAUUUGUAAUUUGUUUUAGAAUAAUAAUCAAAACGCUAUAAAAUUCACUAAUUAACCUGAACAAGUAAGUUAGAGCGCCAAAAUUGCCCUGUAUGACUCACUCAUCGACAUCUCAUUGUUCUCAAAGAAGGAAAAAAAUAAAGAAGGUUAUAAGGCCCAGGCAGAUAUAGGGCCUUAACCCAAAACUUUAAGUUUGGCUUUGAUUAGCAAUAUUAGAAUCUAGAAAAAGAAUUACUACAAAACCAAAUCAACAUGGAUGAUUUCUGGGCUUAAGGCUUUAGCCUCAUUGGCGCAGAAUUAGAAAGCUGAGAGGAGGUGAGGUCAACAAGGCUUCAUUUUUUAAGAAAAGAAAAUAAACAAUCGAGCUCGAGCUUUUCUUGGUAAGAAAUCCACAUGUCCUUUUUCAAUUUUAAGCUCAACAAGAAAAGAAACCAGAAACCAAUUCCUGUAAUAAAAUAAAUAAAUAAUUAUGCCCAUUUCUCACUUUCUUUCCUUUUCCUCCAAAUACCGCCCAAGACAGGCUCUCAAUCUACUUCAAAGGUCCCUCUCUCUUAAACUCCUUAAACCUUUUUUCUCUGGAUAAUCAAGAAGCUUUGUUAUGCAGCAAUUACCACUUCCUGGCGUAGUAGAAACUCUUUUUUUUUUGUUUUUCUUUCUUCUGAUGUUUAAGCAAAUGGGUUUUCUUGGAAGGGUUUAGGGCUAAGAUUACAGGAAUGCAUUUUAGUUUAUAUAUAUACUUCUGGAAUUGAACUCUGUGUAGUUCUGUUUACUGUUCAUUCUUUAAAGGUUGUUGGAUUUUUCUUAUGAAAGUGUCUAGUUUAGCAUUAUUUAGUAAAAGUCUUUUCUUUACAUUUGAAGGAUGAUUUCAAAGACAAUUAUUAGUGAUUUUUUUCGCUGAAUUUUGUGAUGUUAUUAGUUUUCUCUGUUUAUUUUGGGGGCAUUUUGAUUAUAUGUGAAGCAUUGGUGUAGGCUUGGUCCAUCUAAGAGGGUUCAAUCGAGCAAUCUUUCAAAAUCAACAAGACAGAAUCACGGGAAGCUGGAUGGUCGUCUUGUAGAACAAGUACAAGUCGAACCACGGGUUCCUCGCUCCUAUGCCAUUGUAUGCUGCCUAACCCCUUCGUUAUCGCUAAUUGAUAUGUGUUGGUUCUCCAUUUGAUGUGCCAUUUUUAGAAUAUGGUAGAUUUUGAUUGUUUGUUUUUUUUUUUUAAUUUAUUUAUUAAAAGGAGGUGGAUUCUGUAGUCGAAACUAUAAAUGUUUUUAAAAUGUGUAAUUUUGCAGCCAGCUGCUAUGCUCGGAUUUGCUGGAUUGGCAGCUUUUGUGCAUUAUAAUGAUGAGAGGCGAGCAGUUCCAAAAGGUACAUUCUAUGUUUUACUAUUAUCAACCGACUGUUUGUAAUGGAUCUGGAAUUUUAUUUGCAAGAAAAUAUUUGUCACUUCAACAUUUUGUGCUUGUUGAUUUCAAACAUAGGCUGAUUCCUUCUUGGUUUCUUAGAUGGAGAUAUUUAAUGUUUUGGUUCUUUGUCAUGCAUGUCGAAGGGGAAAAUUCUGUGAUCAUUUAUUAUUAAUAUGAGUCAAUCCUGGAUAGUAAUUACUUAACAAUUCCUUGUUCAGCAGUAUCUUAUUACAGUGGUUUGAAGUUUUUUUAUAAUAAAUUUUACUUUAUGUAAUAUUUGCUGAACUUUCUUUGUUAUUGAAAUUUACCUUGAGCACAUUUUGCUGGACUGGAACUGUCUAUCAACCUAUAAACUCACUUGUGCUCUUUGUUAUCAAGAUGCCAUUAAAAUAGGUGCAGCCUUUUAGGGGAACACAGUGCUUUCAAUUGGGUCUAGUUCUAUUGAAUCUUAAGAAAGAAGAGUUACUGCACUACACCAUCAGGAUUAACAAAGAAAAGUCAAAUCAAUCCUCUUGGUUGCCGCAUCCCUUUUCUUUUUUCUUUUUCUGAGGUUCAAAUAUUGUGCUUUGGCAUUAUAUUUAUUGAUUGCGAGCCCGCAUUCCGCUCAAUCCUAAAGAAGGGAAUGGUUUAAGGGAUGCCACUAGCUUUCUGAUUGAUAAGACCGAUCCUUCUUCUAUUAGUCUAGUCCUUUUUGGUGAAAGGACGAAUCGGUAGAAAAAGGCUUAGAAUCGGUAGUUUCGAUCGACGAAUCACGUGUCUCUCUUUUCUAAUUGGAUUUGUUCUCUGCAGUUGAUGAUCAGCGAAUCAUCAAUCAGUCUUUCAGUGUUUCCGCUCGAUAAGGAAAUCUUCAUGUGAUUCUGCGGUCCUUGUUGCCAAUGCUUUGAUUAAGGGAAGGGGAUUCCAAUUGAUUACUUUUGAAUUCAUAUUGUUCUUGGUUCCGUUGCUUUCACCGAGUUCUUAAGAAACUUGAACAUGAAACAAGUAAAACACUUCACCAAAUUGCAUUUCACCUCACAUUUUUCAAAGAAAUAAUCUAACAAAAGAAUUAUGGGAUACAUGUUAGGCUGCUGAUAUGCAAAAACAAGUGGUUCCUUAUCAUGUUUUUUAACGUCAAAACGAGGAACCCAAACUUGAUCACAACAAACACAAAUGGGUUGCAAGACCCACUGAGAUCAUCCAUAAGCAAAAAAAUAUACCUAGUGGUGGCCCAAAUAAAUGUUUUACACUUGAAAGAAUGUCACUGACAUUCUCCUUCUCUAACUUUCUGAGUAAUCAUCACUGUCCAGGUUCUCUGAGUUGUGUGACUAAAAAUGUUGCACUAUGUAACCUUACACACUGUUACACCUAUUGUUUGGUUGGCUUCAUCUUGGAAUGGAAUGUGUGUAGGAUGGAAUACUGAACCUGUGCUCUGUCAUCUCUAUGUCUAGAGAUUUGUUCAUCAUAUUGUUGACUACUGCAUGGUAGUCAUCAAAAUAAAGGCUAUUGUUGGGGUGACAAUCAUGUUUACUAAACACUGAGCUUCUGCUUCUGGAAGAUCAAUUGGUGCUUGAUUAUCUUCUUUCUGAAAAGAAAUGAUGAACAUAACCAAUAGUGGUGUGGCCACCACAUAGCUGCCAUGUGGUGGUAACACCAGGUGCAAAGCAGCUUGUUUAGGACUUCUUUUAACCUUGUUUUCCCACAUUUUUAAUUGUAUUUUUUCUGUUUAUUGGUUAGGUCAAGGCAGUGAUCGCGGCAAUGUCAAGGGUCCGACUAUUGGUGGCCCGUUCACCCUAAUUAACACAGAGGAUAAAGUAGUUACUGGGAAAGACUUUCUAGGAAAUUGGGUCUUGCUGUACUUUGGCUAUACAUCCUCCCCUGAUGUUGGGCCUGAGCAACUGAAAGUGAUGGCCAAGGCCAUAAACACAUUAGGUCCGAUGCAUUAAUCAGCAUUGUUUUUUGUCCCUCUUCCUUUUUGUUUAUUUUGGUUGGGGGGACUGUAUAUCUGACAUCUGUAUCUUAUAUGGAUCUAGAGUCUAAAGCAAAUCUCAAGGUUUUGCCAGUGUUUGUCACACUUGAUCCUCAGCGUGACAAUCCCUCGCAUCUUCGUGCUUACCUUAAAGGUCAGUUAUAUACUUGCUACUGCACAUGUUUCAUACAAUCCAUUAGUUGUGUUGUAAUAACUGGCUGUGGUUAUCAUAUAUUAAUGAACUUUGAAUGACUGCAGAGUUUGAACCAAGAAUAGUAGGAUUAACAGGAUCUGUGGGUGCUAUAAGGCAGAUGGCACAAGAGUACCGUGUUUAUUUCAGGAAAAUUGAAGAGGAAGGAGAAGAUUAUCUUGUUGAGUCUUCUCAUGGAAUGUAAGCCCAAAGCUCAACAACUGCUUUCUUUUCUUCUCAUUUUUUAGUUUCCACUUUGGCUUGAUCACGAAGUGGAUUUUAUGAAUUUUAAAACAUGCAGGUAUUUGAUCAAUCCAAACAUGGAGGUUGUAAGAUGCUUUGGCGUUGAGUAUAAUGCAGAGGAGCUAUCGGAAGCAAUACAAAAGGAAUUGAAGAGAACCUCGGCUUGAUUGUUUUGAAAAUUUUGAUGUGCUCUCAGUCUUCGGGGAAUUUUUUAUUUUUCAAGGUGUCUAACUCACAUUCCUAUUCUUUUCUUCUAUUUUCUCAAAGUAUAGUUGAAGCGUCAGGAAUGAACAUUUCCAGAUCCAUGACUUUUGAAAGAAUGUAAUGAUUUUUUGCUAUUCGAAACAGUUAGAAAAUGAGGUAGCAUUUGAUAGUCUCCGGCAGAAUGUAAAUCUUUGAUUGUUCUCUUCAACUAACCAACAUUCCUUGCGGAAGAUUGUCAACUAUAUUCAAACUACGAAUUUCAACGUCUAAGACACCCAUCUCGUGACGGUUUGUACUGGAUAAUUGUCCAUUCAGUCGAGAAAUAAGGGUAAGACUUUGCUGUAUGUGCUUUUUUAGACUGACUUUCUACUUUCAUUUAAAGGACACGUGAUGCGGAACAAGAAAGAAGGAAACCAAGAAUUGAAAGCAGGGAAAAAGAGAAAAUGUAGAAGAGGAAUAGUAUGUAAUUUUAUCGAUUCAACAAAAUUGUUUCAUAAAUAAUAAUAAUAAUAAUAACAUAGAAUUAGCAUGAUUCUAAAAUAUCCUAACUAUUAGGUUCAGUCUAUCAACUAAACUUGUUCAAAUAAAUAAUUAAAAUAAAAACAAUGAAAUAGGCUUGGAAAAGUUUAGUUUCCCAACUAAAAAGUGACAAGUCGGGCUAUUUUUUGUCAUCUCUGUCCAUAAACUUGUGUAAUAUAUGGUCUGGUGUUCCCACUAACUCUCUCGGAGUCGGAGAAACUUAACCCCAUCAAGUGUAGCUUUGAACGGUUCUAAUAGUGCUCCUAUAGAUCUGGAUCAAUUUGUUGUAAUGUAUCUCUAGUUAUUUAAGUGCAAUUUGAAUCAAAUUAGUCUAUCUAACAAACUAGAAACCGUUGAAAUUCACCAUCCCCCGUACAAAAACAACUUGUUCAUUCGGAAUAACAUCAAUAUUAUCCUUUUGUGUUAAUGUUAAGGUGAAAGGGGUAGAGGUUUUAAUAGGAUCAUCAAGGGUGAGAUUAUGUGGUAUCUCCAUGAGAUCAUUUGGAAUAGGAUGUAGUUUCUUGUAUACAAUUGGAUCCUCAAUGUUAAAUGUAAAGCUAAUACCAAAAUUAAGAGGUAAAUCAAUAACAUAAGCAUUUUGACCAACCAGUUGUCGCACUUUAAAUGGCUUAGUACUACAUGCUUGUAAUUUUUUGAGUAGGAUACCAUUUGGGUCUAAUAUAUAUAUCAUAACAUAGUCUCCAACAUUAAAUUCAUUAAGUCAUUUAUGUAAACCAGCUUGAAGUUUAUAUUGUGCAUUGCCUGCUUGAAUCUGCUUAGUGAUCUUAGCAUGUAAAUACCAAACCCUACGUGCAAAUGACUCAGCUGAAUCAAAUACCCUAACAUGAGGAGAUAUGGUAAGAAGGUUUAAAAGCUUUAUAAGUUGUAACUUUGUACAACUUCAAAGGGAAUCAUGUCUAUCAACAUAUUGAAAAAGCUAUUAUUGAAAAAGCUAUUAUAAGCAAACUGGAUAGUAAGAAGAACUAAAUCUCAAUUCUUAUUAUGAUUACACACUAGACAUCUUAAAAGGUUUUUUAAACCCUUAUUAACCACCUUGAUUUGACCAUAAGUUUGAGGGUGGUAUGCAUUAAAAGAUUUCAAAUUAGUUCCCACCAUAUGCCAAAAGUUUUUCAAAAAAUAACUCAUAAAUCUAAUAUUUAUAUCCAACUUAGCUAAAUCACUUUUUAACUUAGACUAAAAAAAUUGAUGUUCCACCUCUUGGAUGGUUUUAUUUUUUCCAAAGGCCUUGAACCCUUGACAUUGACUUCAGAAUGAAGGUUUCCAGAGGUUAAUUAGCUGGUUGCCUUCACUGACUUGAUCCUAUCUACUAUUAUAGAUUUUUUUUUAUUUUUUUGGUCUAUCGUAGUGCUAUGGAAGUGUGUGUGUGUAUAAUAAAGUCCCUAUUGCGAAGGAGAGACCCAUUCCUAUGAGCAAAAUUAGACCCGAAUCCUAAUAUUCUACAUCGGUCGAUUUCUUUUCCCUGUAGAAUUGAGUAUUAAUUAAUUAGCGCAGAAAGUCAGUUCUAUUAUUGCAAAUAAAAAGGAUUGGAACUUCCAUAUUACUAGUGGGUUGGUGUACAAAAUGCAGCCUCUCUCGUACGUGCAGUGCUCAAAGCCUCCAAUAUGCCAACGUGCCCACCUCUAUUUCUCUGUAUCAGCAGCACGCCUUCAUUGGCUGUAAAGAAAAAGAAGAGGCUCUUGGAAACUAUGCUCUCUCUUUCCCAUAAUCCCAAUUCUUUAUUAUUUUUUUGAGAUUAUGUAAUAUUACUGGAUGGUUGGCAAUGCACCUUGAUUUACGUCCGUGAUGUCCAGUAAUGAUGUGAUUUUAUUGGUUUUUUUACGUCCGUGCCUUCAUGUGGGCUGGGGCAUAGUUUUGCUCUGAUUACAUGAAUUUGCAAUUAUUUUUUAGCAAAUUAAUCCAAUCCAACUUUUUUCAAAUCCAUAUCAAUCACAUACAAUGUACUGCAUCAAUACACACACAAGACACUGCAGAACUUGUCUGGGUACAAAUUAUUCGUUUUUUUUUAAUUAAUAUUAGUGUUCGAAUUAAUUUGUGUGUAUUUCAAUUAAUCCUACAUAUUCUGAAAUUAACGAUCAUGUAAGCUUCCAGUGACCCCGAUAUUUGUAAAACUCGAACUGGUGACCUCUAGAAAUCAAACCUAGAGUUUGAUCGAUUGAGCUACACAUCAAGAUUAUUCACUUGUUUUUUAAUUUACGUGUCUCAGGGUAUUGAAUGUUUAAAAGUAUGAUAAGGUUGUUUUUAAUAGUAUUAUUUUACUUGAAAAUAUAAUAAAAUAAUAAUUUUUAAAAAAUACAUUAAAAUAUCUAAAAAUACAAAAAAAAAUAUAAUUUAAAUUAAAAAAAUUAAAAAAUUUUAAAAAUAUCUUUCAAAAACAAAAACAAGCAGAAUUUUAAGUGCAUUCAUGUGCAAAAAUGUAGGGCAAAGGCAAGGAAAUACUUCUUUUCUUUGCUAAAAUUUUAGAGAUCCACGUUUCAUAAAAGACCGGGUCUUUUGGUUCCCCCCUUUUCCACCACACACGAAACAUGAAAUAAAAGAGAACAAAAAAUUGAACAAUCGAAGACCAUCUUCCCCUUUUAAAGUUUAAUAAAACCAUACCAACUGUAAAUUAGUGUGCUCCUUUUGCUAAAGAAAUUUACAAAUUUUCCCCCCACAUUCAUCAUGCCAUUUCAUGUCUUGUCUCCAACAGAAAGAGAGCGAAAUCAAAGAGAUUCUAUGUCCUUGCAGCCGCUUCAGGGGCCCUUGCAAUCCAUCUCCUGGAGCUAGCUAGCUAUUUUCAAACCCCACGUUCAUUCUUUCUCUCUUUCUUUUUUCCUGGCUUUAGGCAGGGUUCAAUCUUCCUGACUGGCAAAACCCAUAUAUAUAUAUGUGUGUUUAUACUUCGAAUCUCUCAUUUCUGAUGGAUAAUUUGUGUUCAAUGUCUCUCCAUCAUCAUGUUUCCAUAUUGUUUUCAUAGCUAAAUAGCUAGCAAUGUUCUGUGUCUUUGUUGGUUUAAAAAUGUGCCAUCCUUCUCAACCAUAAAAGCUGCAUUACCUGUAAGACUUGAGGAGAGAGGCUCAAAGGUCAUAACAGAAUAUGGGAGACUUGUCGCCGGAAAAGAAAUCUUCAGGUUGCGGCCUAUUUUCAGCGGUCUUUGGUCGAAGAGUUUUUUGGCCAAGAAGAUCAACAUCCACAGGUUCAAUUAGUACAAUGAAUGCAGCCAAUUUCACCAAAACACCCACCACGCCGAAGAGGAGAAGGAGUGGAUCCGAUGAGGCUGCAUUUCUAGGCAAUCCGUCUGGCAUAGCAGAGGAGCAGCGAAAACCUAUCACAAAAGCUCCCAUGCAUCCCAAGAUACCUCCUUCAAAGAACCAAAACUACGGUAGAAAACUUCCCGAGGACGCAACCAAAAUAUCAUCUGAUCAAGGUCAUGCUAAUCAAAAUCAAGGUUACGGUAAUCAAAAUGCUGUUAACAUGGUAGGAGGGUUCCUAAGGAGGCAGUUGGUCUUUCAGGUGAGCUCGAAAGCUAUAUCUCUGAUCAUCAAAAUCUAAAGGAAGCAGCACGCUUGUUCGUGCUUCAUCCAGCAACGUGAUGCUCUUGGCAAUUUAGGUAACUUGAGGCAGGGAGGGGUGGAGGAAAUACGACUUCUCGUGAUGUUCUUGAUUACCUUCCCAAGACCGCAAGAGAAGAGGUUGCAACUCCUAAUGGAAAUACCCUAAUAGUGUAAUGGGAAAUGUAGUGAAGAAACAGAACGAAGAGAAACCAAACGUAGGUGCGCAGCCUGCUGCGGGUUCUUUAUGCAGGGCUCUCUCCACUAGAAUGGACCCUGAGCAGCUUAAAAUUAUGGGUAAUGAGGAUUACAAGAACGGGAAUUUUGCAGAGGCACUGGCUUUGUAUGAUGCAGCAAUCUCGAUUGAUCCUAACAAGGCUUCUUAUCGGAGCAACAGAAGUGCGGCGUUAACAGCUCUAGGUAAACUUCUUGAGGCAGUCUUCGAGUGCAGAGAAGCCAUUCGAAUCGAACCCCAUUAUCAUAGAGCUCAUCAUCGUUUAGCAAACUUGCAUCUCAGGUAAAAAAAAAAAAUAAAAAAUACCAUUAAUUGCCAGGGGACUCUAAUUCAAUUUAGUGCCAUUCUAAUUUUAUACUAUGUUUCUUCUUUCCAUUGGUGAAAUUUUUAUGUGUUCAUAGAUUAGGCGAGGCAGAAAAGGCUAUAUAUCACUACAAACGUGCAGGGCCAGAAGCUGACCAUGCUGACAUUUCAAACGCUCAAGCUCUUCAAGCCCAUCUCAACAAGUGCACUGAUGCUCGUAGACAUCGAGAUUGGAACACCUUGAUCAAGGAGACUGCGGCUACCAUAUCUGCUGGUUCUGAUUCAGCACUGCAAGUAAUCCACCUAGUUUCCAUUGAACACGUUCAAAUAUUAAAUACCGCCAUGCUUGCUAAGCUCGUUUUGUGUCUAAUAUAGAUAUAUGCAUUGCAAGCUGAGGCCUUGAUAAAGCUUCAUAGGCACCAAGAGGCCGACGAAGCAUUGCAAAAGGGUCCAAAUUUUGAUGUGGAUGCCUGUACACAGUUUUUUGGUCCAAUUGGCAAUGCAAAUCUGUUGAUGGUACGAGCUCAGGUUGACAUGGCUAUUGGCAGGUUAGUGCUCUGUGUUACAUAGUCACACAUUAUUAGAAUUGCAUUUGAGGUGACAAUUUGCAUGAGAGCGUAGUAAAUGAUUGCAUAGGCUCAUAAAUAAUUAAAAGAAAGGAAUGGGUGUAAUCUGGUGUUGAGGAACAGCUCAAAAGGCAUAUUUUUGCUGGGAAAAAGUGGAACCAAAAUAUAUACAAAGUCAAGGAAAAAUCUGACCACUUACCCUCCAGUCACCAACUUGCUCAGCUAUUCCCUAAUGAUUGUUUGGGUUAAAUGCUUUCAUUUUGCACCUAAGCUUUUAUGGUAAAAGCAGGGUUUUUUUUUAACAAAAGACAUGCUUUUCUCUGGUAUUUUCGCUUAUUAAUAUAGAAAAUAAAAAAUUAACAGAAUAAAACUGAGGUAAAAAAAUAUUAAGUGGUAAGAACUGCUCUUCUAUUCACCAAAUAAGGAUUUGAAUUUUAAAUAUUUCGUCUUCUUAUAGAUUGUUAAUGAUAUGCUGAACACUUUUCAAAUGAACUUGACAGGUUUCUAUUGUUGACUGUUAUUAAUGGGGUUCACGUUUGAGCCAAAACAUAUAUUUGACUAUAACUAAGCCUGUCUAAUUGAAAUAAUUAAUGCCAGCUUUUAUCCGCUAACCAUUUAAUUUAGUCCAAUAUAAUUGAAGGAAUGCGUCGGUUAAUUGUCCUUAUUGUUUAUCGAGUUAAUAAAGCUUUUAACCUCUGGAUUAACAGAUUUGAUGAUGCUCUGGCCACGGCACAACGAGCAACAAGGCUUGAUUCUAACAACAGGGAAGCAUAUACGGUGUUGAAGAAGGCUAAAGCUGUAGCUGCAGCUCGAUCACAUGGCAAUCAGCUUUUUAAGGCAGCAAAAUUUUACGAGGCAUGUAAUGCAUAUAGUGAGGGACUUGAGCAUGAUCCCUUCAACUCAGUGUUGUUAUGCAACCGAGCUGCCUGCCGGUCCAAGCUUGGCCAGUAUGAAAAGGCGGUGGAGGAUUGCAACGCCGCCGUCACUGUGCGCCCAGGUUACGCAAAGGCCAGGCUAAGAAGAGCAGAUUGCUUUGCGAAGGUGACUAUAUUUAGUUUUUACAGCAAUUUAGAUGAUGUCAAAUAUGGUUUGAUAAUGUCUAAUGCUUGCUUCACUGAAACAGCUGGGAAAAUGGGAAGUUUCGAUCAAAGAUUAUGAGAUGUUGCAAAAUGAAGCCCCGGAGGAUGAAGAACUGGGCAGGGCCUUGACGGAGGCCAAGGAACAGCUCAAGAGGCAGAAAGGACUGGACGCUGCAGCUUGAAGCUCGAGGCCAAGUAGUGUAAUGUAGAAAGAAAUCGCUGGAGCAGCUAUCAGAACCAAUGAGGCCAAGAACCAAAAACGAGAGACUAGUUAUGGCUAGCGUUGACCCUGAUGCAGCAGAUGGAACGCACAAGGUUGAGGUGAUCAGAGACAAGAAACUGCUAUGGUUAAGGGAAGAAAUCUCACUGAUCGGGCAUCGUGGUUUAGAACAUGGUGCAAAGGACUUGGUUUUUUUAGGUAUAGAUUGAUGUUUGUGUGAAUUUUUUUGAAAAGAUGUAUGAUACUGAAGCUAUUUCUAAGAGUGCAAAAUCACACCAAGAAAGGAUGAUCUAAAAUUUUUUCAUUUUCUGUCGAGAAUCAAUGUUGGAAACAUGAGUUAUCGAUUGCCAGUUAACAUUGUUUAUAGGUUCGGCGGGUCUCUGGCUGCUUGCUAUAAGCCUGUUUUAGAGUAUGAUAAUUUAUGUUUUUAGAUGUUUUUUUUAAAAUAUUUAUAUCUUAAAAAAAUAUUAAAUUGUUAUGUUUUUAGUGUUUUUCUAUCUAUUUUUUAAAUAAUAUAAAAAAAUUUAAAAUAUUUUAAUAUAUUUUCAAACUAAAAGUAAUUUUAAAAAUUAACAUUAUACUAGUAUUUGAUAUAUCAUUAAGAUUUUCAAUUUCAAUAAUUGUUUUACCAUUCAUUAAUUCAUUAAAGUUUUCAAAAUAUAAAAAUAUUAAAUAUUUUUUUUUAUAGAAAAACCAACACAAUCACCGAAACAAUAGUAACACAUUUGAUCUUAAAGAAAACUAGGGUUUAUUUUAUUCAAUCAAUAAUACAUUUUAAUCUGAAUGUACACAUAUAGAGUGUUUAUUUAUAGAUACCCAAACAUAUAAAAUAAAAUAAAAAAUUAAUAAAAGUACUAAACUCUUCAUUUAGCUACUAAGUAAUAAAUACUUGUACUAGAAACUCUGCAAAGAUAUCUAUAACGUAAGUCAACAAAUAAAACAGAGUAAAAAUAAAGAAAAGGAGGGAAGUCAGAGAGAGAAGGUAAAGAAUAAAGAAAAUGGGUAAUCACCUUGAUCAAAUUUCAAAGCAGUUUCUUGAUUAAUGUUAUGAGAUAAAUUUAAAAGAAAAACAUAAAAAGUUAAAUCUGGGUGAAUCAAAGCUGCUCGAAAAACUUCAUUCAGAAAACGGGGUAAAUCUAGGUGACCCAACUUCACUGACAUUUUGACAUGGCAUCAUGAACGGUCCAGAUCUAUAAAAAACAUCCUUAUAUUCUUAUACAUAGUUUUUGAUUUGGAUUAAACUUCCUUAUUUUGGUUUUUAAUCUCUUCUUUCAUAAAACAAUAAUUCCACAAACUUAUAAUAAUUUUUAGAAAAAUUUAUACAUAAGUAUCAAACUUAUAUUAAUUUUUAUUUUAUUUUAGUUUAUAUUGAGUAUUAUAUAUAUAUAUAUAUAUAUAUAUAUAUAUAUAUAUAUAUAUAAACAUGUACUAGCACAGCUGGUUAUCCAGGACUCAACUAACUUAAAAUUUGAAUUGAUUCAGUUUGACAUGAUAAAAAAUCCCGGUUGAUCCAAGAUAAAAUCCAAAUAAAAAAUUCAUUAAUUUUUUUAGGGGGUCAAACAAUAUCAUUUUGAUCAUUUAAAAAAAAAAAUUGAGCUUGUCAAACUAUGAUCUAAAUUUUAUUAUAGAUCAAUUCUUAAUUGGGUAUUCAUAAUUACUUUUAUUCUUAAAUGUUUUAAUUAAAUAAUUAGUUCAUUAACAUACACUGCAGGUUUGAAAAAAAAAAUCUUUCGAAAAUUAUUUUUAUUUAUAUCCUUUCAAUCAAUUAUGUUUAUACAUUUCAGGUGUCACGGGUUAUUUAAAAUUUAAUUUUGAACUUCAGAUCAAACAAAACGUAACGCCUGAGAGAUAAGAUCAUGAGAUAAGAUUAAAUCUUUUGUAUGUAAACAAGCUAAUCAUCUAUCACUGUCAAAUUGAGAAUUCGAAGAAUAGUUUUUAUGGGUUCGUCGUUGUAGUCAUCUUAUCCUAUUCCAUGAGAUAAGAUCAUGAUUUCAAACCUGUACGAUCACACACCUUUCUUCUGUGCCAUUUACGGCCCAUUAAUAUCCCAAUUAUGACAAUUAAUGCAUACCACGACAAAUUGACCUCACCAUUCUUUAGAUCCAAUCUUACCGACAAUAAUAAAAAAAAAAAACACACAAAAAAAAAAACACCUCCACGUUCUCAGCAUCUAACUAGUUGCCCCUUGGAACAAUAUUCAAAAGCCUAAACUAUCAUCAUCUUCUUAAUCCAUCAUAAUUCAUAACGAUGAAUCUCAAAACAAGCUUCAUUAUAAUCCUCGUAUAAUUAAAAGAACAAUGCUUUGGACAACUUUAAUACAUAUAUAUAAUGUCGAGCAAGACAAGAUCUCCUCACUUCCAUGUUAUUGAAUAUAUAUAUAUAAUCAAGAACAUUUGUCCAGAUUAUUUUCCUCAUCAAAAGAUGAUGAUCACAGAUCGUCAAAGCUUGAUCGAUCCAACACACCCAUCUACCAGACACACACACAAUUAACCUUGAAGUUAAAAUCUCUAUUACAUAGAAGAGCUUCCGGCGGAUUUCUUAACACCAAGNNNNNNNN
rnacentral:lncRNA from 1 species